rnacentral:lncRNA from 1 species
GUUAGUAGAUAGAUGUUACUGCAUCAUGAUAAAUAAGUUCAUGUUUUAUAAUAUUGCAUAUGAAAUGAUUGUUGUUUAUAUAUUGUUAAAUAGAAGAUAAAGUACAAGGAUAAAUCAUUGUAAAACAUCUUCUGAUCGCUUUUAUAUAUCUGGUUCAUGGGAAGAUAGUAUGGUGAUAAUUGUUAUCAUGCACAAUAAACAUAACGUUCUUGUUGUCGUUAGCAGAUGGGUUUGGUGGAGGAGGAUCUUUUGAAGGAGAAGAUGGGACUUCACCGGUUUCUUCAGUGAAUGGUCUGGCGGUUGUUUGGACCGCUAUUAAAAGAAGAAGACACACAGCAAUCGUCAUAGUUGUGGCAGAGAUCUUCAUGGUUUUGUCUUUGUUAUUGUCUGUUGUUACAGACUUACAGGACAGGACUUGUAUUUGUAUGUAGCGAGCGAUUGUUUUUGCUUUGGUGAGUUCAUGUGGGUAUAAAUACACGUGGGUGUUAAUUACACAUACAUUAAUUAGGCAAUUAGUUAAUUAAUUUCUUUUUAUCAAAAUCUCGUUCUUUAUAAAUAAUAUUAAUGUUAUUAUCUAAAAAUUGUAAAUAAAUUCAUUAACAAUCAAAGAUUCUUUUGUUUUAAUUGAAUAACACAGAACUUUUAAUGACUUUGUAAAACUCUGAAUCCAAUAACCCCAUAUUUAUGAAGAUUUUGAGUGAUUUUUUACAAAUCAAUAACUAAUUACACCAAACUUUAAAAGAGUUUAGUAAAAUCUGGAUGGAAUAACAACAGAUUCUACCAAACAUCCAAAGUCAUUAAAACUCCGUAUAACUCACAAACCAAAACACCCCCUUAAUAAAGUGCGACCAAAAAUAAUAAUUAUCAUUUUAAGAUAUUUUUCUAUAUACGUUUCGAACCAAAUCCAAUAUAUCCACUAAAUGCAAUAUAAAACAGUAACUUUUUUUCCUAUCAAAUUUGAGUACUUUAGAAGAAAAAAAUUACAUAUCUUUAUCAAUUACUUAUUUGCGUAUCAAAUUCAAUUUUAGCAUUUAUAAUUACUUUUAACUUUCCUACUUUCCUCAAUAGACAGUAAAUAUCACACAGUAACCUUUAUUGUUUUUAGUUAUUACUUCCUCGGCCUAGCACAUCCACUGAACAAGGAGAAACGUCUUUCUCGACUUCUUCGUCGUGAUCGCACAGGAGUCCCUUUGAUCUAUAAUCAAGUAACCAAAAACGUCAAAUAAGUAAAUAAAUUGGUUUUUAUUUUCAUUUCACCAUUAAAGAAACAUUUCUUCAAGCAACUCACUUUGCUUCUUCUUGGAGACUUUUGUGUGUUCCAACAGAAAAGCAGACUGCAAACUCCUCUCCCUGUUUCUGAUUCAUAUCCUCUACACAAACCAAAACAAGUCAAUUGUUUGUCAUGACGACCUUUCUUAAUCCGUUUUUUUUUAGCUUUACUGAAUCAAGAUUAUUACUUACAAAUUGUCUUUGUUGUUUGUGAAGUUGCUGUUGUGUAGUAAGCUCGGAGAAACAGGACAAUGCUCCAUUCUUUUGCCAGCGUGAUUCUCUUGAAACUCACCCAUUUCACAAAUCUUUAAAACUUUAACUCCAUUGGUGUCUUCUUGAGGUAGAACUUGAUUCCUCUCGGGUUUUAACCGGCCUUGGGAACCAGGAGUCUUCUGUAACCACUCAGUUUCUGAUCUCUGUUCUUGGAUGAUUGCUUCAAUCCUCUUCAUUGGUAUCUCAUGCCCACUUUCAGUAUCUGAACUAGUUGUAACUGCUAUUUGUCUGGUCUGCUUGGUGUUGAGUAACUCAGUUUCAGACAAGAGGAUUAUCCUGACCUCUACGUUUCGCCGCAAUACCGUUUCAAUUGAGUUUGUGACACUACUUAAGAACCUUUCAGCUCUCGCUUUGAUCUCUCUUUCUCCAAAUGCAAUAUAAGCAACUAGAAUACCUGCAACCAAGAUUCUAUUAGUAUGCAAUUGCUUGAGUUUUUUUUCCUUCAGAUGUAAAGUGAUUAAGAGGAGUUUUAGGCUUUACCUUCAACUUCACUGAUUGAUAAAAGCUUCCCAUGAGCAAAGAGAAGCUGCUUCAAUGUCUUUGAAUGACAUCUGUCUACACAUUUUAUCCAGAUAUCGUUUAGUUUCUCUGCAUUUCUGCACGUAAGUGUCAUGGUACUUGCCGUUGUAUCAUCAUGCGAGGCAGUGUCACUCUCUAAAACUUCGCUAGACGAGGAAGACAAUUUCACUUCAUAAACAAGAUUUCCGCUUUUUCUCAUGGAAGUUGGGGAUGCUGAAUUUUUACAUUGAAGGCCUGAUCUCGGCUUGUAAGCAAUAACUUCUCUUGAAAUGCUUGGUGGGUGAUCUUCAGUUGCUCUAGAGCUUAGCCUUCUACUGCUACCGGUGUGUGUGGUUCCAGGAGAAGGCAUCGAACCAAGCUGCAACAAGGUAGCUAUGAACCAUGUUGAACGGUCAGUAGAAACUCUCAGCUGAUUCUCAGCCUCAGAGAGAAGUUUCAAAGCAUGUUUUAGUCUCUCCAUAUCAGCUUCAGUCACUACAAAAAAAAAAACGAAUAAGAUUGGCCAAAUACAAAGCACUCAAAAAAAGUAGCAGAGCUGAAGGCAUCGAUAAGCCAAAUUUUUUAGAAAAUCAUUCUAGUUCUGGAGAAAACGUAUGAUCAUUAUGUCUAGCUGUGGAUUCCCAAUACUUAUUAGUUUAAUUUAAGCAUAUCAGAACUAUCGACUUUGACGUUUCAGAAACUCACAGUUCCGUCCAUCAAGGAAGGCUUCACUGUAUUUUUCGUCCAAGGCCUUGUAUGCUCCAGCAAUGAUAUCCAUAAUAAGACUGGCCAGUUGAGACAUCAUGGGUAUUGGGUCAGCUCCUGAGUCCAGUAACUCUCUAGCUUUCUUAACUGUCUCUGCCGUGUCUGAUGACAAUGCUAAUUCCAAAAGUUCAAGUAAAUUGUCAUCUGAAACAACACCCACCUGCUCAAACAGCAGCAGUCACAAUCAAAUCACUCACUGGUCUAAUUUUACCUAAUGCAAAGAAAAGGAAACAUAGAGAAAACACCAUAACUUACAAGCUCAUUUACAAGAUCAACGGUAAUUCGUUUUCCCAUCAAGCUCAACUGAUCUAACAUAGUUUCAGCAUCUCGAAGCGAGCCAUCAGCAUUCAAAGCAAUCAGGUCCAACGCCUGCAAUUCCACAUCUAGAUUUUCAUCUGAAGCAAUUUUCCUUAGCCUCACAACAAUGUCACCAUCUCUGACUUUGUUGAAGAGGUAAUUCUGGCACCUUGACUGAAUGGUCCGAGGAACAUUGUCAAGGUCGGUCGUUAUACAUAUGAAGACAACUUUCUGCAGAGGGUUCUCAAGAAAUUUGAGCAAAGAUAGCCACGUCUUAGAUGGUAGUAAAUGACACUCAUCUACCACAAAAACCUUGAAUCUUGGGGAACUCUGUGGAGCUAAUGCCAGCAGUUUUUUCAAAAGAUAACUAACUUUCUCAGCUCCAUUCUUCUUACCAGCAUCAAGUUCCAAUAAAUCACUACUUUUCCCCAACAUGUAAUCACUGCAUUCUUUGCAAUACCCACAAGGUUUCAUGUCUUGAGUCGCCAGAUCACAAUUCAGGGCGGCCGAAAGAAUUCUCGCAGUAGAUGUCUUCCCAGUUCCUCUAGGACCUUGGAAAAGAUAAACAUGAGCAAUCCUACCCUUUUUCACAGCGUUCAUUAGAGAUUGAACAACUAAACCCUGUCCAAUCAAUUCAUCAAAGAACAUAGGCUUGUACUUUUGGCUCAAGCUCUGGAUACUUUCCGGUGUACUUCCAUCUCCUCCUCCAUCCAGACUCCGACAACUAGUAGACGAUCUCCUCCCAUCUAAUCUACUUUGAGCCUCUAAAUCAAGCUCUCCGAAAUCAGUAGAAAGACCAUCAUCACUAUACCCAAUUCCAAUAGAUGACCCUCCUCUACUACCACCACCAUAUUUGAGCAAAGGCAAAACACCCUUUGCACUUCUUAAAGCAAGUUUCUGUUUAUUAUAUCUCCCAGAGGUAUGUCUAUGUCUACGAUACACCGGCUGACUCCCGCAUAAAAUACUACUCCCGGUCUUUCUAAGAGUAUCCGAAAACGAAGGUGAGCAACAACUCCUACACCCACCUCUAUGUUUCAGAUUCCUCUUGGUCCAAUAAAAAGGAAUCCCACAACCUUGUCUCCCUGUAAAAUCAAAGUUAUCAUCAUCCAAGUCAUCAUCACCGUCCUCCCAAGAUCCAACUGUGCUAGGAUUACGAACAGCAUACAUGUUGUAUGAGCUAGUCGACAAUGCAGGUGUACUGUUACACGUAUGAGAAGAAUCCUCUCUCUUACUAGUAGCCUUCAUGAACUUCGAAGAGGAGUGUGACCAGUUAUUGUGCUUAAGCUUCGAAAGCAAAGGAGAUGACACUUUAGUGAUCUUGCGAGGAUUCUCAGAAUUGCUAAAAUCCUCUGUUUCAUCAGACAUCUCAACAGAUUCAUCUCUCACCACACUUAAACCUGACGCUGCGUGGAGAUUACUUGGAAAUUUCCUAGCUUUGGCAGAGUUUCUUACGCCAAAGAUUGAUUCUUUCGACUGAUGAUGAUAUCGAGACAUCAAAUCCAAUUUCUUAGUUUUCUUCUUGCUAACACCAUUCUUUCUGAUCUUUGCAAAACCAGGUGACACAAGAUUCGAGUCUCUGCAUCUAAAAACCAUGGAAGCAGAUCGAGUAUCCCCAAGAUACGAAUCUCCACCGUUCCUAGCAUCACUCACAUCAUCAUCAUCAUCACCAUUGACACUAGCUUGGAUCCACGAAGUGCCAUCUUCACCUCCACUGUAUUUAGAAAAGCCACUCUUGUCGCUAGAAGUCCUCUGAGCCUUCCAAUUAUACAAAAACACCUUCUUCUCCUUCUCUUUCCCGUUCCCAACACCUCGACUACUGGGAAACUGAGAAUCCAACUGAGCCUCGACGGUAUUGGUCUCCAGCGGAGGCUCAGGCACAGCGAGGGAUCUAGAGGAAGUAAGAGGAGAUUUCCAAGAGGAAGUGGUACCGGGAUCGCGUAAACCCUUGGCAACUUUCCUGACUUGAGUAAGCUCCUUCUUCAGAUGCAAUUUGCUCGGAUCCGAAAUCUUCAGACCCGACAUUUUCUUUUUUCUUUUUAGAAGACAACAAACAAAGAAUCACUCUUUCGACUACUUCGGUCCUCUCUUUUGUCUUCUCAAGUAUUAUGCUUCAGACACAUUUCAAUCGAAAUUCCCCAAAACGACGACAAAAAUUGAACUUUUCUCACUCGGUUUUUUUAUAGCAAAAGUUAAGCCGGGAAACUUAAACCUGAAUUUAGAAAGAAGACGAAGAAUCUUCUAUUUUCAGAAACUAAAGACUAUGAGAGAGCGAAGGCGACAAUGAGAGUAAAGAGAAGAGGUGAAGAAGAAAAGGGAUUUGUUGAGAAAUUCAAAAAUAUCACAGGCCCUGUUUUUUCUCCCUAUAUAUUUUUUUAAUUUUAUUUUACAAAAAAAAAAAGAAGAAGAAAAGAAUUAAAAAUAUUUUAGAAAAAGACACGAAAAGAAAUGUGAAAAGGUGAAAAAUUGGGUCGGAAGGGAGCGGUGACGCUCGGGAUUCUCCUUUUUAUUUAUUCUGCUCUCUCUCUCUCUUGCGGUGUGUCAGAUCUAAAAACCCAGUGGCCAGUGCGGCAGUGCUCACUCUUCUCACGCCUCUUCACUGUCUUUUAAUUAAGAGUUUAUAUUGUACUACUACCCAAUUUUUGAGUCGGAAGAUAAAUUAUUAAUAACAGAUGCAAAUUACAACAGAAAAACCAACUUUGGAAAUUAAUGAAACUCUAAAGUGUAUUUUUCUUUGACAAAAGUGUAUUUGCCUUUGCGUUAUUACAUCUCGCCGAUCUCGUUACAAAAAUGACUUAAUUUUGGAUAUAAGUUUUAAAAUACUUUGGAUUUCUUAAAUAGCCUUUAAGUUGUUAUUUAAUUUUUGUUUCUUUUUAAUAAUUAUAAUAAAGCUAUGUUUUUAGCGGUCAUUUAUAAUUGUUCAUGCAACGUGGGCUUUUCUGAUCAACAAAUAAUUGUAUUAAAACUAUGUAUUAUUAUUAUUAUUAUUAUACUAGGGGUAUGUUUUACAUGUUCUGACAAUUUACAUGUCUAACAAUCUGAGACCAAAAUACUAAUUUCUGAAUAAUGUAUGUUGUUGUGGUCAUUCUACGAAACGUAUAAAGAUUAUUUCAGGCUUUGCCUCGUAAGAAAAAAAAACCCAACCCACAUAUAUCUAUCUAUUUAAAAUCUUUUUUAGUUGCAUUCAUAAGUCAUAACUCGUGACAAAUGUCUUUGACUCUUUUAGAUCUCACUUUCUUAGCUACUUUUAUUGCUUGGUUCGUUCCUUUGAAGUCCAACAAAAACGAAUUCAACAUCACAUGCCUAUUUACUGCCAUUGUUUUUUUUUUUUUUUUUUUUUCUCUCACACUCUUAACAAAUCUUAGCUUCCAUUGAUAAUAAUGCUCAGAUCGGGUUGACAUAUACAUACAAAUAUGUAUUUUAAAUGCAUAUGAACAAGAGCUCCUCAGGGGGUCCUUAUAGUUUGUGUCUUUUGUGUUCUUUUGAUUGAAUAAUGCAUUACAAAUCAUUCAUAUAUGCGAAAACAAACUAACGACGAAAUGCACAUGCCACUAUUUUGUACGUUUUCCAACUUCUUCAAUGUGGCCCUCUCAAGGUUAAAUUUAUCAGUCUUCUAAAAUAAAAUAGUAAACGUUGUCUUGUCUUCAUGUUAUAUUUUUGGAUAACAUAACAUGUAGAUUGUAAUAGACAACCUUAUAUUAUACCCAAGGAGGAAUAUAGACAACCCCCCACUGAUUUAAAUCUGGUCGGGGUUGAGAGAUCCUUUAGAUGUCCUUUUUUUUUUUUUGGUAAUUAGAAGGUCCUAAAGUUCGUAAUUUUACAAUCAUAACCAUGGUGAUAUAGCUAGAGAUAAUAUGGUACAAUGUACCAAAUUCAAUCAUUAAUAUUUGUUCUAAUCAUUAACCAAUAAAGGCAAUAACCAAUUGAUUAAAGGCUUAAUACUGAUAUAUUUAAUGGGCCUAAACGAGCCUAAGGUAUUACAUAGUAUUGGGCCAAAUGUCCCAAUAAUGGGCCUUAAUCGAUCUUAUCAAGUUUAAAAGUCCAACUCAAUUUACUUAUUACCAAGCAGAGAUAAUACAGUAAUUUUUAACUUGAAAUUUAAAUUUUUUACAUUUUCGCCUAAAAACGAAACAGCUACGAGCGAGAGAGAGAGAGAGAGAGAGAGAGAGAGAGAGAGAGAGAGAGAGAGAGAGAGAGAGAACGUGAAGCUAUAUAUAUGUCUCGAGAACUCACUGUAUCUUUUGCCGCCAUAGCUUUACAAGCUCUAACCUUUCCUCAGCUAAACCAAAUCCAUGCUCAGCUCAUCGUCUUCAAUUUCCUCAGUCGUAAAAGCUUCUGGGCUUCGCGUCUCAUUAGCUGCUGCACGCGUCUCCGUGCGCCGCCUUAUUACACGCGGCUCGUUUUCGAUUCGGUGGCAUUUCCCAAUGUCUUCGUCGUCACUUCCAUGUAUAAAUACCUUUCGCGGAUGGAUAUGGCCGAUGAUGCUCUUCGUCUCUACGAACAAAGAUCGCGUUGCGGGAUUUUGCCUGACGCUUGGUCUUUCCCCGUUGUGAUCAAAUCGGCUGGGGAAUUCGGGGUUUUGUUUCAGGCUAUUGUAGAGAAAUUGGGAUUUUUUAAGGACCCUUAUGUGAGGAAUGUGAUAAUGGAUAUGUAUGUGAAGCACGAGUCAGUGCAGAGUGCACGCAAAGUGUUCGAUCAAAUUACUCACCGAGUGGGUUCUGAUUGGAAUGUGAUGAUCUCUGGGUAUUGGAAAUGGGGAAAUAAGGAGGAAGCUUGUAAAUUGUUUGAUAUGAUGCCGGAGAAUGAUACUGAUGUGGUUUCUUGGACAGUGAUGAUUACUGGUUUUGCAAAGCUUAAGGAUUUGGAAAAUGCAAGGAAGUAUUUUGAUCUGAUGCCUGAGAAGAGCGUUGUUUCUUGGAAUGCUAUGCUUUCAGGUUAUGCCCAAAAUGGGUUUACAGAGGAAACUAUUAGAUUGUUUAAUGAUAUGUUGCGAUUUGGAGUUAAGCCCAAUGAGACCACAUGGGUUAUCGUUAUUUCUGCAUGUUCUCUCCGUGCUGAUCCUUCCCUUGCUCAUUCACUUGUUAAACUGAUUCAUGAGCAGAGAGUUCGGUUGAAUUGCUAUGUGAAGACGGCAUUGCUUGAUAUGCAUGCUAAGUGUAGAGAUAUUCUAUCUGCUAGGAGAAUUUUCAACGAGCUAGGUACGCAGAAGAAUCUUGUCACUUGGAAUGCUAUGAUAUCUGGAUAUACUAGAAUCGGUGAUUUGACUUCAGCUAGGCAGCUUUUUGAUAUAAUGCCUGAGCGAAAUAUUGUUUCUUGGAACUCGAUGAUUGCUGGGUAUGCUCACAACGGACAACCUGCACUAGCCAUUGAGUUUUUCGAAGAGAUGAUUGACUAUGGAGAUUCCAAACCGGAUGAAGUAACAAUGAUUAGUGUUCUCUCGGCUUGUGGACACAUGGGUGAUCUAGAAUUGGGUAAUUGCAUUGUAGAUUACAUUAGUAAGAACCAAAUCAAGCUGAACGUUUCAGGAUACAGGUCUUUGAUCUUCAUGUAUGCUAGGUGUGGAAACCUGUGGGAAGCAAAACGGGUGUUUGACGAAACAAAGGAAAGAGAUGUUGUAUCUUAUAACACGUUAUUAUCAGCGUUUGCAGCUAACGGGGACGGGGUUGAAACGCUGCGUUUAUUCUCAAAAAUGAAAGGAGAAGGCAUUGAGCCGGACCAUACGACUUACACUAGUGUCUUGACGGCUUGCAACCGUGCAGGAUUACUCCAAGAAGGCCAGAAAAUAUUUGAAUCAAUAACAAAUCCAUCAAUAAAUCAUUAUGCUUGUAUGGAUGAUUUGUUGGGCUGAGUUUGCAAGCAGAGAGAUUAAUUGAGAAAAUGCCAAUGGACGCACGCUCUUUAAUACCAGCCUAAACUCGGUGAGUUUUUUAUUCCUUGAGUCUGAUUCAAUAUAGAAGUUUAAACCUUUUUCCUUAAAGCAUAUACCAGAGUCUUAAACCCAAGCAAAUGAUAGAAACCAAAAUUCAAACUAAUUUGCUAAAAACCUUAAAAGUGAUUUGUAAAAGUAUUACCAAUAGGUUUCUUUAUUACCAAGAAAUAACACAACGUUUUCAUGGUUAAUGCGUCAAGAAUGAAUAUGUAGUUACGUUGUUUUUUCCAAAUAAAUAAUGAUAUCGAAAGGUCACACGCAUAUCCCUUACAAGUUUCAAAAGAUUAAUUAUGAUUAUGUAGGUUUAUACAAUCUAUAGUCGGUGGAAAUUUUGUCAUUCCACAAAAAAUAAUCUUAUUAUUUAUUGGUAAAAAUGGGAGUGGUUGGAAACGCUUUAGGACCUACCUCGUGUUAGUAUGGAAAUAAGUCAUCCAUUAAAAGUUGCAAUGGUUCUUGGCUUCUUGCUAUGGAACUUCCUGGUAAAAUGCCAAAGUUAGUCGCAUUCUUUAGUUUUACGAGUAUUCUAUGUGACAUGUCUCUAACAUGUUUUGUCAACUAAAUCCGUGUGGGGUUCACUUAUUCAUUGGUUUUUGCUUCGAAGUUUCCUCCUGAAAUGCCUAAGCUCAACAGUUUCUUUUGUUUUAAGAAUGUAUAUAACCUAAAUUUUGGAUAAUGAGGCCACAAGCACAAUAGAAAACCAACAUCUGAAAAAUCUUUGUCUUGAUCACUGAGUUUUUGCCUAAAUUUCUUUUUCUAUGGAUCCGAGACUUCAACAAGCUGCUGAAUCUGGAAGCAUCAAUGAGUUGUAUGCUCUUAUUGAUGAAAAUCCAUACAUACUUGAUCACUUUGAUGCGGUGCCAUUUGUUAACACUCCCCUACAUGUAGCUGCAGCGGCUGGGAAGAAACAAUUUGCCAUCGAGAUGCUGAAUCUUAAACCCUCUUUUGCCAGAAAGCUGAACACACGCGGCUACAGUCCAUUGCAUGUCGCUGUGGAUAAUGAGCAAAGAGGCUUUGUCUCCAGGAUGCUUUGGCUUGAUCACACCCUUGCCCGUGUUAAAGGGAGAAAUGGCAUCACACCAUUUCUUUCCCUAGUGUUAAGAGGAAACGCCGGUCUUGUGGCAGAGUGCCUCCUAACUUCCCCUGAAUGUAUCGAAGAUGUGAAUGUCAAUGGCCAAAAUGCACUGCAUCUAGCUGUGAUAAAUGACAGAUUUGAAGUUCUCCAAGUCCUUACGGGAUGGAUCCAGAGAAUGAGCCAAAAAAAUGCUGACUCGAUUGAGAUUCAUGUUCUGAAUAAAAGGGAUUUCGGCUACAACACAGCCUUGCACUUGGCAGCAUAUAAGAGUGAUCAUCAGGCAUGCUUUACUUUCUUUCAAUUCUAUUUUGUAUAUCAGAUAUAAAAACUCUUCUAAGUGACAAUGAGUCGUGUGAAAUAUGAUUAUUCUAAACUAAUAAUCUUUUCAAUAUGAGAUUCCUAAUAGAAUGUACUAUUUUGUGUAGGCAGUUAGACUCUUACUAGAAUGUCGAUUGGUGCAGCGGAACAAAGUCAAUGGUGACGGUUUAACAUUCCUUGAUAUCUUACGAAAUCAGGAACAGAGCUGCAGGGGAAGAGUUAAGAAGCCAGGGACAGCGAGCUGCUGGUGGAGAGUUAAGAAGCCAGGGACAGGGAACCGUGGGUGUGGAAUUGGAUUUGGAACAAGUUGUUCUAAAAACCGGGUGUAAAGAGGCGGCUUCCGUGCGAAAAUCCAAAGCAAGGUCUGAAUUUUUGAAAUCACCAAUCACUUUUGUGACAUACUGCUCCACGAGCAUGAGACGCCUAAGGUCUAACACUUCUGAUGAAUCUCGGGGAGUGUUUCUGAUUGUAUGUGCUUUGAUAAUAACAGCUACUUAUCAGACUGCACUCCAACCUCCCGGAGGUGUACACCAAUCUGAGGAUGCGAAUGCGGGUUCCGUGGUGAUGAAACAUUCAUUCUUUAUCCUUCUUUGGGUUUCCAACACCGUAGGUUUCUGCUGCGCUUUAUUCUACACCUUUUGUCUCAUACCACUUGGUAGUAUGUUUGCAACGUGGUUCUUUUGGACAGGGACAUCUCUGUGCAUUUCUUAUGCACUAGCAAUGGCAGUAAUCUCACCACAUCCUCUAGUGUUUCUCUCAGCGACCAUUGCCUUCUUCCUGCUUUUUGCUCUCUUUCUCUUGUUGGAUGUUUUAGUAACUCGUUGGCGAAACCAUGAGACGGUGACACCUAAACCCCGAUUGAGCUGGUUUUGGAAGGUUUGAUACUACACUAAUAUAACAGAAGAGAGGGCUUUGAGAAUGCAAAUGAUGUAACCCUUCAACAUAUGACACAUCUCGCUUAUGAGUUGUAACUUGCAAUGUACUGUGCCAAGUAGUAAUAGGCUUAUAUAUAAAAAAUCUUUGUAUUGUAAUGAGCUUCAUUACUCAUUAGGCUCUCGAAAUUAAUAAAUGAGCUUGAUACCAAGAAGAAGACACUAGCUGGCAUUGAGAGACUUAAAGCUAUCUCAAUCCCAGAAAGGCUAAGCAAGAAAUAUUUUUUGAUUCGUCUUCUCACUAAAUACUUGUUCUGUCUUUUAGUUCAACUAUGAGUGUCCUCUUUUACAGUCUCUAUAUGUUACUGUAAUCCUUCAAGGUUUGAUCUUCUUGUUACUGCAACUCGGGAAUAUGUACUGUUUGAUGUGCUCAGCUUUUCAGGUGUGAUCUUCACACGUUUUGCAUGGAAACAUUUCUCACAACCAUUGCAGCGCAUAUCUGAUUAUUGUGCUGAUUCAUCAAAGCGUUUUAUUUGGUGAGUAUCGGAGCUGAUAAAAUACUUGAAUUCGAUCCAAAAGUUGCUGAGUUAAAGAAAUCAAUUAAACCAUUAUAUUAUACAGUCAAGUAGUCAGUCAACCUUUGGAGAUCCAAUAAACAAUGCAAUAAGAUUAUAAAAUUAAAAUUGUAUGAAUCUCUAGAAUACAAAACUAAACUUGGGGAAGCAUAUAAAGCAGUCAAAUCAGAUUAUAAUAUGUAAAGCUUGACACAACAAAUGUGAGAGACUGAGAGAUUGAAAGCUUGAUAUAAAAGCCUAACAAAGAGUAAAAACUACUUUGGUUGAUUCUUGAUGAGCAAAAGAAGAAGAAACCCUAGUUGGAAAAGAGAUCGCUUUGGUCAGUACGGCGGAGGAGCUUUGGCGUUGGUGGCCCAUAUAACAUCAGAGCCACCCAAGUGGCCACUGUACAUCGACUCUCCUCCACUUCCCGCCGUCACGUGUCCAGAGACCGGCGGUGAUUGGCCCUCCCCUUCCCCCGAGACCGAGAUUUUUUGCUCUUCCUCCGCCGCAGGUAUCCGGUGAUAGGAGGGGUUACUGAAACUAGCGGCGACGACGUAGACAGCUCCAGAGGAAACGAGGGGACCAGCAACAAAUCCACCAAUGAUCUGCCCCUGAGGUCCGGCGAGAGAUACGGUGAAGAAAUUAGAGACAGGAGGUGACAAGGAGGAAUGAGGCGGCGGAGGAAAGUAAGUGGCGGAAACGGAGAGGAGAUCAAACUUCCCGUGGAAAGUAAUGGUUGAGCCAGGAGCUGCCGGAGAAGGCUGACGUAGAGUGACGUUAGCGACGGAGCCUGAGGCACUGAGGACGCAAAAGCCGAUGCCUUUACGGCGGCAGAAACGGUCUAUGGCUUCAACGACGUCGACUCCAGAGGGUACUUGGAGGAUGUAAGGGCUCAUAGGAGGCUCGGAGGACACAUGGGUGACAAAGAUUGGUGCUUUUGGUUUGUUUUUCGAACCAGGAGGUCUGCCACGUGGACGCCGGGCCAUUUCCAUGGCGGAGGAGGACGGUGAGAGGUGCAAGUGUUGUUUUUGAGGAAGCUUCGACAACAUUUUUGUUUUGUCUUUUGGAGUUUUGUGUUAAAUGAUAAAAUAAAAAAAGAAAGAAGAGUGCAGAGAGACUGGUUUGGUGUGGGUCUGUGGGAUGUAUAAAGACGACUAGUCUAAUCUUUUUGGGAAAUGGUAUGGCCAAAAAAGUAUUGCUUCUAUUAAUAUAAAAAGAGGAGAAUGAGAGGAUGGGGAAGAAGCAAAGAUGAGAGCUUUGAAAGCAACUAACUUUAGGACCCACCUCGUGUCUCCUUACUUUAGAUUUGUGUAGUAAACGUCUUCUUUCCCUCUACUUCUGUUUGAUCUUUAAAGAGUCUUGUUAUUAUAUGCAAUUUUACGUUUCUGUCACUCUUUAUGGAUCCAAGGCUUCAACAGGCUGCUGAAUCUGGUAGCAUCGGUGACGUUUUAUGAUGCUUUGAUUGAUGAGAAUCUGUGGUGUCAGAGUGCCUCAUAGCUUGCCUUGAAUGUUUCCAAGAUGCGAGUGUUAAUGGCCAGAAUGUUCUGUAUUUUGGCUGUGAUGAAUGAUAGAUAAUGAGCUAAAGAGAUGUCUUCUCCACUUGGUAUGCUUUACUAGUUUCUCUCUGUCUUGUAUCUGCUUAGACUAAAGAGAAUCUCCUCUCUGUGAAAAUUUUCGUAAGGCAAUGCGCGGAGCCAUCAGACAGUAGUGGCACCUGUUCCCCGAUUAAGCUGGUUUUGGUAGGUUUUGAUACAACAGUUUAGACAUUAGAGGACUUUGAGGAUGCGAAGAUGAAAACCUUCAACAUAAGCAGUGUCCCUUGUGAGCCUUUGUAAUUAGAAUAUUCUCAUGAAUGACUUUUGGAGCCAAAAUUGAGAAACGUCCAAUAAAAUAAAUUUCAUACUUGGAGGAAAAAUCCAGAUGCCAGAGUCCCACUUGUUCUUAAAUUGUUUCUUCUUCCACAUGUACAUGUGGUUUCUUGGUCUUCAACUCUUUCUUUAUUGUUUCUUGCAUGGGUUCGUUGGUCCUUGGUUCUUGGUAAAGGCUAUUUCUGCCAUUAUUGUCCUCUCGUUCAACUGUAUUCGAUCUUUGCUGAAUUUAGAUCACAAAACACUUUUCUUCUGCAAAAGGCUCCCUAUCUCUCUCUCUCUUUAUGGAUCCAAGACUACUACAUGCUGCUGAAACAGGAAGCAUCAACAACUUUUAUGAUCUUAUUGAUGAGAAUCCUUACAUUCUUGAUAACAUUAAUGACGUGCCAUUUGUCAACACUCCGCUCCACGUAGCUGCAGCUUCUGGGAACAUACCAUUCGCCAUGGAAAUUCUGAAUCUUAAGCCAUCGUUUGCCAGAAAGCUCAAUACAAAAGGGUAUAGUCCAUUACAUCUUGCUGUGGAAAAAGAUCAUAGAGAGUUCAUAACAUGGCUGCUCUGGCUUGAUCCCGGACUUGCUCGAGUUAAAGGGAGAGAAGGAAUCACACCUUUUCAUCUCCUUGUGGUAAAAGGAGAAGUAAAUCUUGUGGUAGACUGUCUCAUGUCCUGCCCUGAAUGUAUCCAAGAUGUGACUGUGAAUGGUCAUAACGCUCUUCACCUUGCUGUGCUUAAUGAUAGAUUUGAAGUUCUACAUAUUCUUACAGGUUGGAUCCAAAGAAUGAGUCAAAGAGAUUCUGCAGUCACUGAAUCUGAUAUCUUGAAUAAAAAAGAUUUAUCUCGCAACACGCCUUUGCAUCUUGCAGCAUAUAAGGAAGAUCAUCAGGCAUGGUUUCCUAAAGCUUCAAAUUUUCUCUACUCCUUUAAGAUUUUUCUCAAUUAUCCAUUUUGUUUCAUAAUUGGACUGACUGUAGAAUAUAUGUAUGCAGGCGGUAAAACUGUUACUAGAACGUCAGCUGGUGAAACCGAACGAAGUAAAUGGUGAUGGUUUAACAUUACUUGAUAUCUUUAGAAACCAAGAACAGAGUAUAGACUUGGAUAUGGAACAAGUUGUUGUAAAAACUGGGUGCAAAGGGGCUGCUUCUCUUCCAAAACUCGAGAAACCGUCCGAUCACUUUAAGUCACCAGUCACUUUCUGGGCUCAUUUCUCCAUUGGCCUCAGACGCCUAAGGUCCGACACAUCAGAAGAAGGCCGUGCAGUCUUCUUGAUUAUAUGUACUUUGAUAAUCACAUCCACUUAUCAAACCGCACUUCAGCCUCCGGGAGGUGUACACCAAUCCGAGGAUGGAGGUACUGCGGUGAUGAAGCAGACAUUCUUCAUCGUCCUAUGGGUUUCCAACACUAUAGGCUUCUGUUGCGCCCUACUCUACACGUUUUGUCUCCUGCCAAUCGGUAGCUUGUUUACAACAUGGUUCCUUUGGAUUGGAUCUUCUCUGGGAGUUUCUUAUGCGCUUGCUAUGGCUGUAAUCUCACCAAAUCCUCUAAUGUUUCUCUGUGCCGCAUUCUCCUUGUACCUGCUCUUUCCCAUGUAUCUCUUGAUGGAAAUUUUUAUAUCCCUGAGGCUGAGCCAUCUUAAGGCUGCAGUAACUCAAAUGUUUAUGACAAAAAUAAAAUAGAAAGGAUUAUUGAGAGUCCAAAAGAUAUCAAAUAUAUUGUCAUUGUGAUUGAAUGUUAUGUUCUACGAGGUAAUCGGCUUAAUGAGUUUAGGCUUUAGAAGCUAAAGCUGUAAAAGUGUACAGCAAGUAACCAGAAAGAAGAACCUCCUUGACAUAGACUAGAGAGUGCUUCAAGACAGACUUUUCUCAGAAACAUAAGACAAAUUAGUCAUAACAUUUAAACAUUAACAGCAAAAAAAAAAAAAAAAAAAGAGAAAGAGACAUUACUAACUGUAAGCUGUCUCAAUCCCAUUAAAACUACGCAAUCAGAAGCCUUUUGUUUCUUCUUCUUCCCACAACUAAACUCUUGUUCUGUCUUUUCUUCAACUGUGAAAACGUUCACCUCUUUCACAGUAUCUAAUGUUAUUAUCACCUUCAAGCUUUCAUUUUCUUGCUGGUACUGCAACUCGGGCAUUUGUAAUGUUUGAUGUUCUCAGCCUUUGCUGGUGUGAUCUUCACGCAUUUUCCAUGGAACCAUUUCUCACAAGCAUCGCAACAUAUCCAGAACUCAUCUCCUCCAUAGUUGUCUCCACACGCACCACAAACCGCACCUUGUUCGUCAUCUUCCUCCUCAUCUCCACUCUCAUCUUCUUCUCUUGGUGGUGGGGACAUCUUUGAAGCCUUAGUGUGAGAUUCCGAAUGACGAGGCUGCAUGAGAAAACAACAGAGUAAAUAAAGAUAAGAUCCAGCAGAGAUAGCUAGACAGUGAGAGGAAAAAGAAAAAGAGUAAACAGAAGCUUCUACCUUGCCACCGCUAGAUUUGCUUUUGCUACUGUUGUGGUUAGCAGAUUGAUCCUUAGAUUGCUUUGCAUUGCCAGUCACAACCUCAAAAAUGGUUGGUAGAUCAUUUAUCAUCUGGAAGAGCCUCUUCCUGAGAAAAUUUAACGAGCUCAGAGGCAAGAUAACUAAAUGAUUCGACUCUACAAUGUCAGAGAAUACAAACACUGUUCAACGAAUUUGAAUUCAAGAGAAAAAUAAGAGGCUCACAUGAUCACUGAAUCGAAAAUUAACUCUUGUGGGUUCACUUCUCUCUACUUAAAUAAAUGAUAUAAAACCAUAAUUACUUUUCAUAGAACAAAAUAUAUUGAGUUUAAAGGUGUACCAGAGAUUUUAACAACAUUUAUAUGGUGAUACAAUGCUAGAACGGUUGCAGCUACCAUAACAGUCAUUAUAACUAUACCAAACAUGUGUACAAGCGAGAUUAUAUAGAAGACUGAGCAGAGAAAGAAUCUUACCUCUCAUUCUUACCAAAUCCAAAACGUGCACCAAAGUAGAAAGCAACAGAGAUAAGCCACGAAUCACUGUGAACUGCAACCAAAGAGAUCCAAUCUUUUUCUAGCAUUCCGUCCCUUGCGAAAUUGAUGCCUAAAGCUGGUUCAGGAAGCUCGGGUGGAACCUCCUCGACGGGAAGAUUAACCUCCCAUGUCUCAUUUGGAAGUCCAUAAAGACAUAAAUUUUCCUUCUCUGCAUAAGUUAUAAAUAAUUACCUUAAGAUGAGAAACCACACAAAAAACGAACUAAAUCAAAGUUACAUAUAUGUUGAAACACACAAACACUUAAAGUCACCAACCCGUUAAAAAAUUAUGAAACCAACAUAACUGUUGAGACAGUCACACAGACAGCAACUCUGACAGAAAGGUAAAACUACUAACAGAGGAGACAACUAGACAAAGGGUCAAGAAAACAAAACUACUGCAGAUGGGAUCUAAUCAUGAAGAAAAUAUCUAGAGUAAUCUAGCAGAAAUUAGAAAAACAAAAGCUAAUGAAGCAAAAAAUGCAUUUCCCAUCACAAAUUCUUCCCUAAUUCAGGCCAAAAAGGAACUGCUGCACUGAAAUACACCUGUUGAAACCAACUAAACAAGCUAUAAUAAUAAUCAAAGCGUCAUGAAGCUAUACAAAACUUAACAUGGGUAACGGAAUAACUCACCAGGGUCACACUGAUGGUAAAACUUCUGAACAUCUGCAAAACAAAACAUGAAUAAACCCCGAAUCGUCAAAUCCCAGCAAAUGAAUAAAACCAAAGAACCCGCAAAUGAAGAAAACCCAAUUGAAACAAAAGAGCACAAAACAUAAAAACUCGCAAAUCUAGACAAAUUAUCAAAGAAUGGAGCAAAAAAAGAAACAGAGUAAGAAAGAAAGAGAUGGAGCUCACCAGUAGAAAGAGCCUUGAUGAGACCAGCUCUACGACCACGAAAGUCGCUAAAGACCUCUUCGACAGUGCGAGGUAUAGGAUGCUGAAUUCCUUCCAUAUUGCUUUCAGGCCAAAAGACUUCGCAGAUGAGAAUGAAUCAGCCUCACAAAUACGUCCUAAGUAUCGAGAUGCAGAAGAAGAAAAAGGAAAAAGCCAAGAUCGGCUUUUUAAUUUUUCCUUAUGAGGGAAAUUUGUAUACUUGGAUGGAAUUCGUAUUCGGGGAGAGUGAAAUCUAAUAACCUUUCAGAAGAAUUUAUUUGGGGAAAUUUAAGAAGGAGAGAGAGAGAGAGAGAGCAGCAGCAGCAGCAGCAGCAGCAGCAGCAGCAGCAGCAGCAGAGCUAAGAACAAAAAAAAAAAAAAACCCUAAAAACGAAAAGGAAAGGAGACAAAAGACAAUUUGGGGGAUUCAAAGCAUUGGAACAGAUUAAAGCGACAACAUCUCUACCUUCUUUUUUUAAUUAUUAUUAUUCUAUUUUAUUUUAUUUUUUGCACAAUUUGUAUUUAUCUAUAUGUUAUUUUUUUUAUGCAACUGAAGGAUAAUUAUUAAUAUCAAAAGUCAUUAUCUAUAGUCUAUAUAUCAAAUUAUUCAAUAAAUAAUGAUAAAAUACUAGUAAAUAAUUUUAUUAUACUGUUUGUUUUUCAUUAAUUCUUAAAUUACAAUAUACUGGAGACUCUAAAUAAUAUAAAGUCGUUUCCUAUUAUUAUCCUUAUUAAUUUUGGGUCAAUAUUUUUAAUAUGUUUCUGUUCUAGGCAGGUUCUAUAACUACUCAAGUAUAUUUCUGCCAUUUUUACUGUAGUCCAAACAAUGGAAAAACAAAAUUGAUGCCUUUUACAACCUUUAAUAAUUAAUGAGUUAUUGAGUAAAAUCACAUGAGGUAGUAUAAUCUCGUUAAUAAAUUAAAUCAGGUAUUUACAUAAUAAUAUGAUAAGAUAUUUUACUAAUUUUAACUACAUAGCCAGCAGCAAUAACAUGAUGCUAUUGGUAGAUUCUUUAUUGAUAAAAUAUACGAAUUUUGAUGAUUAAAAUAAAAUAAAAUAAAACUCUUGCGCGCCUAAACUGACACUAGGGUUCAUCAUCACAUUCACUGUCCUUCUUCUUUCUUCUCUCGGGUUCUUCUACUAUCGCGGAGCUAAAUCGACCACGCGGAUACACCUCCGACCUCCCGAUGGAAAGUCUAUGCUUCGUAAUAUACCUAACCUUGGAUUUCUCUACUAGUCCAAUCUUGGAAUUUUCUCGAAAGCAUGUUGAGGGGUUUUUAUAGUUCCGAUUAGGAUGUCUAAAGGGUUUCGUGUUUCUUCUUAUGGUGAUUUGCCCAUACCAAUCUUGUGGAAGGAUUGUGGUUUUUAAAUGCCCAAUUUUAGAUUGGAACGAUUGUAUCUUUUUGAUGCUCACUCUUGUUUAAUUUUCUAGUUGCUUGAUUUGGCUGUGUACCUCUCAUGCGGUGGUGCAGCAUUUUAUCUUCGCGGCCGUAAACUUCAAAGGUAAGGCCUCCUCAUUCCCAAUCUUUGUGGUGAUUUGAAUGUUUUGCUUUUAAUUUUAUCAAAUCAGCUAAUGUGUGUGUUUUUGCGGUGGCUCAGGAAAGCUAACUAUUUGGGGAGUAUCACUCGUGUGCUCGACUUAAGAUGCUUAGGUAUGUUUCUCUUUAGUAAUAAUUGGAAUUCUCGUUAUGCUUCAUCUGUAUUGGUUUUGGAUUAUACGAUCCAGUUGUUUCUUGUUUUGUUUUUAGAUGAAUUGCUUGCAGAAAACACCACGAAUCUCCUUGUUGUGGUCUCUGGAAGAGUUGGUUCUGCAGCGCCACUUAACUGCAAUGGUCUUUUGGGUGUUCUUGUGAAGGAAAAGGUAAGAUUGCUUUUGUAAUGUUGGCAUCAUAUAUGUGUGCUUGCUAUUGUGAUGGUGUUAUUGCAUCGUGAGUCAUUAAUUUUCUGAUGGUGGCAUAACAUGUAUAAUUCAGGCCAAACUGGAAGGUGAGCUCGAGUUGGAAAAUGGUGGUUCGAUAGAGACGUCUUUUAAGUUUCUGUUACGUGAAAAGGAGACUCCUUGGUAUCUGGUAAGAUACAUUCAAACGUUCAUUUGCUAUUUCUUGUCCGCAAACUUAACCCUGCAUCCUUAAUUGGUUAUUACUCUCUCACAUUUAGGAAGACAGUACGGGUCAGGUGAAUGUACUGGGAGUUCAAGAUGCUGAAGGAUUUUAUGGUAUUCUAAAUGAGUAUGUACUUGAUAUGCCUGCAAGUGAACUCUUAAACGGGGUUGUUUUACCCCAAGGCACAAAGGUUCUUCUUAUCUUCAUUUUUUUUUCUCUGUAUAUUCAUUGUUUUCUCUGUUUGGAUUGAAACAACAAGGUGAUGUUUUCUUUAGGUGCUUAAACAUAAUUGCCAUGGGCGUGCUCUUAAUAUUGGUACUUUCUUGACUUUUGUUGGCGAGGUAAGGGAUACCCAUGUUUUGUUUGUUUCUUCUUUAUUCUCUAAAUGUGGAAUCUGUAAGAAUAGUGAUUUUUUGCGGGCUGUGCAAGCUAAGUUACAUCUAAUUUCGUCCAUGUCUAUAUCGUAGGCUGUAAAAGACAAAGCUGGGAAUGUCAUGAUUCAAAGUCCCAAGGAACAACCUUUUCGGGUCUACAGUGGAGAGGGCUCAUUUGACAGUAUGAUUGAUGAACUGAAGUCCGUGUCAGAGUAAGAACCACUCAUCAUGUUACUGUCAUAGAAUUUACUUGGGAGCUGAUGAUACAGAUUUGUUGAAAGAAUGUUUUGUUAUUUUGCAGGGUUAAUAUCUUGAUAGGCAAGAUUUUUGGAACUAUUGCUGUGGCUUUAGCCGUCCUAUACGGUGUGGAAUACAUAAGAACGGUGCUGUUACCAUUCGUGUGGAAGAAAAAAGAGCUACGUAACAGAUCAAAGAAGCCUAAAUCAAACAGUGGAAAACCCCAUCAGCGAAAAGAAUCAGACACCAGCAGUUUGCCCAUAGGAUUGGCUCUCCUUCUGGUUAAAGACUCAGACAAAGAUAGUUGAAAUGCUUGGGGGUGAUCAGUGAGGCAAGAUACAAGGAAACUUUUUAGUUUGGUAGCCCUGCAAAUAUCUCUUCAUCAGUCAUAUAUAUAUCUUGUUCACACUUUAUAUUCACUUUUUGGUAUGAAAAGAAGAAUAUUUUGCAGAUAUAAAUUUCCAUCUACAUAUAAUGUAUUAGUACUUAAACAUGGUACAAUACCAUUUACAUGGGAAGCUGAAACGCUGAGCAGGUGGGAAAGCAACAAUAACCAAUGAUAGACCACCCAAGAGCCAUUCCAUAUGAAUAAUCAAAGAAAUAGUCACUGUGGUAUGGUAUGUAUUAUGGGAGUUCAUGAAGUUGUGGUAUGUAAAAGCUGAACAACUUGAUGCCGCGAAAAUUAAAAGCUUAACAGCUUCCAACGAAAAGAAACAACAACCAAGGAUAAACCGAAACCAAGAGCUGCUCCAUAUGAAAAAUUUAAGACAAAGUCACUAUCACUGUCACUCUCGCUGGUUCUUGGUAGUUUCACUUUACAUUGAAGAAAGUAAUCACCACAGAGAUGGUUUCCCUCGAAACUCGAGUUAGGAAAUGUAUGAAAUUGACCACCAGAAGGGAUUUUCCCUGAGAGACUAUUAUUAGCAACACUGAACUUGGACAGUAAUGUUAGAUUCUCCAGAGAUUUUGGGAUUGAACCAGAAAUACGGUUAUUGGACAAAACAAGAACCACUAGGCUUGUCAUUUCCGAAAGCGAGCUAGGGAUCGAUCCCGAUAAUGUGUUGGCAUUCAGAUUGAAUACAUGGAGGUUCUUUAAGUUUCCAAACUCCUUCCAUAUGGGUCCAGAAAGAUUGUUUUGGCUGAGGUCAAGCAUUGGAGGGAACAUGAAAACAUGUUUGUACCGCAGAAGUCGUCUAGUGUCCUCAUUCUCUUUAUAUAAUGCGAAAUCUAGAGAUGGGUCAUCGAAUGAGACAUCUCGAAUUGCGAGGCUUUGGAGUCUGGUUAAGCUUUUUGGGAUCUUCCUUGUGAACAAGUUAUUCGACAAAUCCAGGUAGAAAAGGUCGGUCAAACCAUCAAACCAAUUCGGGAUAGCUCCAGUUAAAUGGUUCCAUGAUAGAUCCAACACCUUUAGAUGGGUGCUCUUACUCAACCAGCUUGGAAUUUGACCGGUAAGCCUACAGUUUGGAAUAGCAAGUACCACCAGCUUCCCGAAAUGAAGACUCGGGUCAUCAGGUAGCAUCUCUCCAUGAAAAUUCAAAGUGAGAAUCAGAGUCGUCAGGUUCUUGCAGUGCUGAAGGACGUGAAGUGUCGCUGAAAUGUUAACAAGGCUGCAAUUUGAAAGCGACAGGUAAGAAAGGCUUUGAAAAUCCUUGAAGCUCUCAGGCACUUGGCCAUAGAAGAGGUUCCGGGCAAGAUUAAUGCUCCUCAGGUUUCUGCAAGCCGGUAGAUUUUCAGGCAAAGAGCCACUAAAUCUAUUGGAUCCCAGAUCAAGUGAGGUCAAGUUAGUCAUCACAGAACAAUUCAGACGUAAAGGACCACUUAAUGAGUUGUUCCCCAGGUCAAGCAAGAUCAAAGUCUGGGAAUUUGCCAACGACUUGGGGAUUCCUCCUGUGAAUCUAUUAGUGUGAGCAAUGAGGUACCUGAGCUCGACCAAUUUGUUGAACACAUCAGGGACUUCACCGGAGAGUCUAUUCGAAGAGACAUCGAGAUGAGCAAGGCUAGAGAGGUUACCAAGUGCAGGACUGAGCGAACCAAAGAGGCUGUUCUCUUGAAUCUCCAAAAGAUUCAACCUUUGAAACCGAAACAGAUCCUCGGGUAUAUUACCAGUUAGACUGUUCCUACCAAGGAAGAGUUGUUCGAGCAGAGCGCAUUUCUCGAACCCAGAUGGAAUAUCUCCGGAAAAUCCAUUGGAAUCGAGUCUUAUAAGCGUAAGCUCGGUGGAGUUGUGGCAAACAUGCGCAGGAAGCGAACCAUUCAACUCGUUAGAUGAAAGAUUGAUACUUGUAAGCGAAGGAAGAUUUAAGCUCUGUGGGAUUUGGCCAAUCAAUCCGUUAGAGCUCAAAUAUAGAGUUUCCAGGUUUACCAGACUGAAAACAGAGGGAGGGAUCGAGCCUAAGAUGAAAUUAUUGGAGAGAUUAAGAACUCUGAUCUGAUCCAGCAGCCCAAGAGAUUCAGACAAUCUACCUGAUAAUUUUCUGCUCAUAAGCUCCAGCUUGGUGAUUCUCGUAGUCUUGUCUGUGUCAUUUAAGCCAAGCGAAGAAGAAGAGUUACAAGUGAUCCCCACCCAUUCACAGCAGUUUGCAGAGGAAUUGAAAUCCCAACCAUCUGGCUUCGGCUCGAGCUCGUUGAUGAAGUCACGCAAGGCCUCCAUGUCACGUGGAUGGCACGUGAGUUGCGGAGAACGUGAUGAGUAGACGAAACAUGAUAGCUCUAAGACGAGAGCAACGAGCAGCAUCACCCACCGAUGAUGGGAAAGACCCAUGUCGAAACAGGAAGAGAUAAAGUGAAUCUAAUCUCCAAAAUCGCAACUUUUAACUGUAAGAAUUUCAAUGACUCAGACUCGGAGGAGGAGGAGCAGAUACAGACACAUGAAGCGAACGAAGAAAGUGACAUCAAAGUUGACUGGUUAUUCUCAAGUCCUUUUUUCUCUUUGACUAGUUAAGCGAACAAGACAAAAUAAAAUAAAAGGAACCAUUUUGAAAUUUAAAUUUAAAUAUUUUAUUGGAAAUUUUACGAGUCCCUUUAUUUGACUCAUCAAAUGUUCCUACUUUUUCCAAAAGUUAUUGGGUGAAAAAAAAAAAAACGAAAGAUGGGUUCUCAAUUUUUCAAGAGUUUGCUCCGUGUCGAGAAAAAGGUUGUUUUUUUCCUUCAGAUUCUUACCCUCGUUACUGUGAUUUUGCUGACAUUUGAGAAAAAUGUUACUAAUUUGUGGACAUUUUCAUGAAUCGUAGACUCCCAUUAAGGAUUUUGAAGAAGAAAUAACGCCUAAUGCUGUUGCUUGCUGUCUUGGUGGUGCCGCUAUAUAUUACUUGUUGAGGAGUUGGAAGUGUAAAAGGUUUCGACUUUGCUAUGAUAUAUUUAUUUGGUUUUCAUCCUAAUGAGAUUUGAAAAGUUAUUGUAGUGAAAAGAUUUGUCUUCUCUGUUAUGAAACCACAGGCAAGCUCAGAUUCUGAACCGUGCUGUCCGCGUGGAAGAGCUUCAAGAUUUGGGUAAGGUUUUAAGGGUUUAAAAGAAAGAUGGGAAAAAAAGGAUUUUGAGGUUUUUAGCUUUCAAAAUGCAACAAUCAAAAGACCUAUAUAUUGAGUUUUGUAGAGGAUUUGAUUGGUAACAACAAUACAUCGGGUCUCCUUGUUGCUGUAUGCGGAAAAGUCGGAUCAAAUGCAGCUUUCAUGUGUAAUCGCAGUGGCCUUUUGGCUGUCUCUCUCACUGAAAAGGUUAUUUGGCUUUUUGUUUCAAUUUUUUUGGAAAAUUUCUGGCUCUUGUUGUGUUAUCUCUCUGGUUGGACCGAAAUAUAAUCAUUUGGGACAUAUUUUGUUGUUUGUGUUUUCUCUCAGGCCAAACUUGUUUUUCCUACAGAGGAUGAACUUGGUUUCUUGGAUAUGGAUUACGAAGAGAUUCUUUUAAGCCAUAAGACUGUGACUGUCCCUUGGUUUCUGGUAAUAAUAAGAUACGUUCAUUCAUGAUCUAAUGUUCUUUUGUUGGAAAACUUAUAUUACUCUGCCUGAUUCUUUAUCUCUUUGUAUUUUAAUCAGGAAGACCACACUGGCCGUGUUAAUGUAGUUGGGUUUUAUGGUACUUUUAGAAGAAAUGUGUUUGCUGAACCUAUGAAUGAACUUUGCAAAGAAGUUGAGGUAUAUGCAAUUCGUCUUUCGCUAGUUAUUCCAACAACAACUACACCUCUGGUUGAAGCAAUUAUAUCUUGUGUUUUUCUUCUUUCUUUCUAAUUUUUGUAGAUUGUUACACACAUUUGCUCCGAGGAUGUUCUUGAGAUCGGUAGGCCCUUGAGUAUUGUCGCUAAGGUUGUAAGUCUUUUUUUGGUUCUUAUCUAAAUUUGUUCAUGAUUCACUUUUCAUUGACAAGUUAGGAAUGUGCAAUAUAGACAUUCUGAUUGUUUUCUUCUUUAUACUAAAAGGCUUUCAGAGGCGAAGAUGGGUCUCCCACAAUCAAAGCACUACCCUCUCUGGUCUUCGAUGGAUAUAUAUGUGUUGACAAAGAAGUUUACAACCUGCAAUCACAGUCAGGGUAAGAAAGAUCUGAUGUUCCUUCCUUUACUUGUGAGGUGAUAAAUCAUAUUUAUUCUUCUUAGAGAAAGUGGUUUUGUUUCAUUUUGCAGGUCUUGUAUGCAUAUCGCCUUUUUCUUAGCAAUUAUUGGUGUGUUACUCUGUGAGAAAUGAAAAUGCCGCUAGAUAUCAACGAGUAAAAAGUUCACUGAGUUUGUCUCUGAUAUUAGUAGAUGUUUAUCCCCCAUAGUUAGAAAUGGUAGAAUGAGUAGUUGUGACAGACAAAAAGACUUCUCAAACUCUGUCUUAUGGUGUGUUUUGAAACUUAUCUGUUCAACAAAAUUGGUUCUAUUGAUUAACCAACCACUUGGAUCUGUCACUCCGUUUUGCCUCCCAUGAAACAUGGUGCUUAGGUUUAUGGAAUUUUUACAAUGCUAUACAUAUGAAUAGAAGAGCAAACAAAUUUUAAUAUAUGUACAUGAAACAGGGGUAAUUAAGAGAGCAUGGUCAUCUCGCAGCCAUCAUGUAGACGUAAAAAGUUCAUUAUGUGGUUAUGUUAAUUUUUAGUAUAUGGUAAUAUUAAUUUUUAAUUUAUUGUAAGUCUAGGACAAUUCUGAUCGAAUAAAACCGGAUAAUGGAUUCCCAUGACUUCAAGGCUUCUAUAACAAAACCCUAAUAUUCAAAGAUCAACAUACUAUAAUAGCAUUUAUAUUCAAACUCGAACAAUUCGUAGUGGAGGAGAUAGAAGAUGAUUGAACUUGCUGCUAUAUUCAUAGGCAUUGGCUUCGCAUUCAGCUAUAGCAGCCGCAGCAAUAAAACGUUAGUCCAUUCUUAUAAAUCAAUCUCUGCUCUGCUCCGCUUGGAAACACACACUUACUUUGAUCUUGAUUUUGAUUUCUUCAUCAACUUCAGGAACGCUGUGUUUCUAAAUAAAGCUACCUCGGUGGACAAGCUGGAAGGGUUGGGUAAGAUUAUUUUAAAAGUUUUUUGGGCUUUUGGCUUGUGUGUGUUUAUUUCCAUGAUAGAUCGAUGAUUAUAAAAAAAAAAAAAUAUUACAAAAUUUUCAGAGCAGCAUAUUCUGGAGAGUAAGCCAUGGAACUCAAUAGUGGUAUAUGGAACAGUUGGAUCAACCUCACCCAUAGAGACCAAUCGUUCUAAAACUUCGGGUGUUUUCUACCAGGAAACGGUAAGCUUGUGUGCCCUCCUUUUGUUAAAAACAUCAAAGACAAGAUUAUUUUUGUCAAAACCAAACCAUGUUUGCUCUUUCUUUCCUUGAGGCCUCAAUUGUUUACGAGAGGUUUUUUGAAGAUCUUCCAAUGCUGGAAGAUGAGGCUAUUUUGUUGAACCGUAAGGAGGUUCCUUGGUAUCUGGUAUGUCAUUUAUUUUCUCAUCCACACACACACACACACAAAUAACUCUUAUAAAAAAUGUUUUAUUCUCUUCAAAGCCAUAAAUUUAAUUUCUAUUAUUUCACAUUAGGAGGACGGUACUGCUCAGGUUAAUGUAAUGGGUUACAAACGUGCCAGAGGAUUUGAUUAUAUUUUAAAAGCGUAUGAGUUUACUGAUCCAGUGGCUAAACACUUCAAAAGCUUGCUUUCUCAGAAAAAUGUUAAGGUAACAUUUGUUUUCUCCUCUUCUUUCCACUGGAUUCAACUACUGUGUGUGUGCUAAUUAAUGAUGUUUUUUCUUUUAGAUUACGGAUCCUAAAAGUUGCAUAACUUGUGAGGAAGUUCUUGAGAUUGGUACGCCUUUGACUAUUGUUGGUAUUGUAAGUCAACAAUCCCCACCAAUGCUUGUUUUUUUUUUUUUGUAUCUUCAAGAUUUUCAGUUAGUUUUGGGAUGUGAAAAUUUUACAUUUUGUGUAUAUAUUCUAAGGCUGGGAGAGACCAAGAUGGGGCUCCCAUGAUCAAACGUGUCCAUCAAAUCUUCAAUGGACGUAUAGAACUCGAGGAAUUGAUCUGUGAUAUGGAAUCAAACUCAGAGUAAGAAACAUCGAUCUCAUGUUCCCUUUUACUUGGCAAAUGACAAGUCAUAUUUUUAAUUUCUAAGAGUAACUUUUUGAUGAUGAUUCAUAUUGCAGGUCCUAUGGGAUAUCCUCCAUAUACUUUAUUGCUACGGGUAUGAUUUUACUCGCUAUGUGCGUUUUGGAAGAUCUCAACGAAGCUUAAGUGUUUUCAGUUUUAAUUUUGCUUUUGAGAGUCUGGUUUUAGCUCAAUACGUUUUCCUAUCUAAUAAUCUAUUAGUCACUGACUUUAUAUGUGCCUUUAUAUAUGGGAAUGAACAUCUCCUAAGAUGAAACUAAGCACAAACAAAACAACACUACUCUGUUUUAUUCAUCAAGCCAUAUCCAUAUCUAUAAUCUAUUUUUCACAUUCAUCACAUCGAUUUUAUUAGAAAACUUUAUUACUUGUUGAGUUUCACCAUUUCAACUUCGCCGGAAAAUACUGCAAACAAGCAAAAGGCGAUAGAUUUAGCCGGUAACGAUAAAAAGUUGAUUUUUGCUUCUAAAUUUGACAUAUCAAAUGUGAAUAUAUAUACAUUACCUUGUUAAUAAGUGAGAGAUAAUAUGGUUUCACUUCCUCCACGUUUACUCGAACUUUGCUUUUGCUAUAGAGAUCAUACUUGUUGAACACUUUCAGCCACUUCAUGUUCUCUCUGUCUUCUUUGUUCAUCAAAUGCUUAUAUGCUUCUGAUUUGUGAAGAGCUGCAAAACAAAAACACAAAAAAAAGAAAACGAACCCUUGACUUUUAUAAUCUUGACUCAUCCAUAUUACCGGAAGAGAUGUCUUUCAAAUACCGUAGAAGGAAUGGUAUCUGAUGAUGAAAAGACUGGCUGAUGGUAAUGUAGUUUGAUUCUCCUUUGCAACCUGUGAAAUUCAGUUUUGUAGUCGAAUAGAGAUUCUUACAUGUUGGCAAAUUCGAAAACAAAAUGUUGGGAUUGUCAUUAACUUACCAGGUACAUGUAAUCAUCAUGUCCCCAAGACAUAAACACAUUAUCAAGCCCACAGCCUUCGGUGUAUAUCCCAUACUUGGUGUUGUAACUCGGGUUGUCAUAGUCUUGAUUCUCCUUGAAGUACUACGUACAUCAAGAAACCCGCGAUGGGAAUCGAUUUUCAGAUUUUUUAGAACUCAAAACUAAGUUUGCCAAGUUGUGGUUAAUGAUCUUGUAUACCUUGUGGUGAACAAUAGAUUCAUCAAACGCACAUCCCACCGGAUAUGUAUCCCCUGUAAAAGAGACAAGUCAUUCGAGAAAAUAACAAAACGAUCUUCUCCAAAACACACAAUACUCACCAACAACAGCCCACUGAGGUAGCUCACCAAAUGAAGGAUGAAGAAGAACUUUUCCAAGAUCUUGAUUCACAUACACAGCAAUACAGAAUCAUUAAAACCGGUAAACCAAUCUGUGAAUGCGAUCGAAACGAAUCAUCAAAUAGAGAUUACCAUGGAUAAGGCCGGUAAGAUGGAGCCAGUCUUCAUCAGGGUAAUCUUUUCUGAUGGCUUCAGCUGUCUGGAGCAAAUGCUCAAUCUGAGGUUCGUCCAUAUCCGGAUCACUCUCGUCGAUGAACUCAUUUAGAAGCUCACAGCAUUCCCAAAUGCUCAUCUCAGUUCGGUUUAGCCUCCCGUAUUCCUCCCUCCUCUUCCUCACGAAGUCAACGGUUUGGCCAAUGUGAUUAACCCUGUAAAAUUCCUCCACACCUCUUCUCCUCUCACUCUCAGCGUCAUAAUCCCUUUUUAUGACAACAACAGAAGCAAAUAUCGAAUGAAUAAAGUUUCGAUAUUGCAGUCUUUGGUGUGAAUAUGAUUCGAAAGAUAUUUACCUGAAGGUGUGACCAAAGGAGUUGGUAUGAGGAGCCUCAAAACUUGCAUCUAAGACCAACUCUGUUUCUUCCUCUUUGACAAUCCCCUGGUUCUUCUCUACAGUCUCAUCUCGUCCAUCUACGAGUAACUCAUAUCCAAUCAUCAUAUUCAAUCAGUCAUACAAACAUAAUAAAAAUCGAAAAGGUUGAUUCUAAAUUCACGAGGAGAUCAUACAAACUUCUGUAAAUCUAAAUAACCAGAUCAUUUCAAAACAGAACAUGAAUGGACACAACUUAACUAGAAAACUCGAAACAUAAACUCAGAAGAGAUAAAGGAAUAACGAACCGUUCUGAUCUGAGUGGCGAUCGAAGAUAAUCGUCAUGGAUCAGAGUUUCAGAUCCAGAAACCAAAAGCUUAGGGUUUGUUGUUGGUGUUGAUUGAAAUUGGAGGAGAAAGAAAGAUGAUUGGUUUAUAUAUAUAGAGAGGUGAAAAAGCGAGUCCUGAAGUGAGAAUAAUGGAAAGAGUGAGUCCUUAUUAGCCAUUAAUUUACAGACGAAAAGUGUCCUUCAAUGGCAAAAUGUUCAAAAGUUUAGCCUUUUUAAUUGGAUUAGGGUUCUGAGAACCCGGUUCUUUCAUGCAGAGGAACACAGAAACGCAAAGAAACAGGUGUUACAGUGUAGAUGACGACUUGGCGCGUCAUUUUAUGUUUUUUUAAAAAACGUUAUCUUUGACCACGUGUCAAGCUUUUUUAAGUCCUUGCUUAAGUAAAUCCCCUAUCAAUCAAUGAUAAAACUUUAUUAAAACUAGUUUAUGAUGGUCUGAAGUUCCAAAAUUAAUUUAGAAUAUAUCUUGAGAUAUUUUAAUUUUGCUUGUAACAUUAUUUUACUUGUAAAUUGACCAUAUAUUGUGACACAUGUACAAAGAAGCUUUUCAUGUUCAGAGAGAAGAAGAAGAAGAAUCACGUCACCUAGAGACAGUGGGUUUUACGUGACGUGGCGUCUACUAAUAAUUUUGACUUCCUUCUCUUAUCCUCGCCGUUUAGUUUCUUGAUAAUCGCGAUGAGACACUCGUUAUGAGCCGUUGGAUCGGUAGCUUUUGAAUUCUCUGAUCCAACGGUGCCUUUGGACGACUCUAAUGAUUCUACAUUUGUGCUUUCUUUACUGAUGAUCUUUAGAUAGAAGUCCGUGAUCAAGAACAACAAUCCCACAAUUUGGUGUCUUAUUUACGUCUCUGUCUCUUAUUUAUUCAUAUUACUAACAUACAGAUCUUAAUAUAGACAUGUUAUUAAACUCUCUUAUGUAGUAGACAAUGUUACUCAUUGGCGACAAAGCCAUUCGUUCGUGAAAUUCUCACCUAAGUUUCAAUAAACAAAGCAGAUAAGAUAAGACCGGUAGAAGUAUACCAACCAGUCAAAAACGAGUAGUUGUCUUCUUUUUUAAAAACUACUUCGAAUGGAACGCGACUGGCCAAGGUCCAUAUGUUUGUCAAAAUACCAAUUGUUCAUCGGUGUCUUGGACAUAACUUGGAAACCGAGAGCAACACGGUCGCAGGUAUAUUACUUUGUAUUAGAAAUUCUCAAACAAGAGAGAUUAUAGUAUUAUACUAAUUAUCCACAUUCAAUUAGUUAAAGAUAGAAAGCACAAUUCAUUGUUCUGCAACCCCUUCCUUACAUGUACAUUUUGUCUAUCAAGGAACAAGAACCCCUCUGGUUUACCGGUGUACCUACACGAUAUUAACUUCCGGUUUACUGAAGAAAAAAAGAAGAUAGGAUCACCUUUGGACCCCUUUCUCAGCUGUUUCUUAUGUUUUUUUCUCUGUUUACUAUACCACCCAGUAUAGGCACUGUAGCUACCUCGGUGCUUCCUUCGAUUCUGAACAGGUUCAUUGGAUUUGAUGAUUCUGUGUGAUACCCCGUUUUGGUGGAAGCUUUCUUAGGAUAAAGAGGACCAGUGAAGAAGGCAAUAUCUCCACCAACUGUAAGUAAACACAACACACUUUUUGUUUAGAGAUUUUCAGAAGAAGUUUCACAUUUAGAUUCUAAGAUCCACAUACUGUGUGUGUAUAUAUGCAUAUCUAUGGUAGGUCAAUAGGUGAAUAGAGAGAGCUUACCAGAUAAUAUAUGAAGUUUAGGAUUGGGUGAUCUAAAACAUCAAGAUCUGCUGCUUCAUCGAACGCAUCAAAGCACAUCUAGACCAUGAAAAGAUGAUGAAAUGAAAGAUCUGGUUAGCUUUAGUUUCGGAGAUUGACGACAAACAAAGAGGAUCCAACCAACAAGACAAGGUCUAUUGAACUAUUGAUAUCAAUUAGUAUGAUGAGUAUAUCUUUACCAUGAUGCAUCUGAUGAGGAAACAUGUAAAGCAUAUGCUUGUCACGUAACCAACCUGCAAUUCGUAUAACAAAUGAAGGGGGUAAAGAUCCAAGAAUGGAAAUAGAAGAUCAGGUAACUCUGGUUUACUAUCCAAUGUUCACCUCUUGUAGCUUCUUGCGGCGCCCUUUAGAUUCUACUGGAAAUCGCUGAAGCAUCAGAAAAAGCCUGCAAAAAAAUAGUCAUCAAAGAUGAUAAACCAAGGCAAUUUCCUUUAUAACAGUGGCAAUAUAUAGAUAAGGCCUGAUGGCACAAAAAGGAUCUAGUGUAGCCGCCAGCCAUCAGAGGAAGGCAGGAAUCCCAGUUUUCAUAAUGAUAUCAACAACUCAUUUGUGGGAGCAGGUAACAAACAUAUAACUAAGCUACCAUCGUAGUGUAGCAUAUGCAACGGCAACACACUUACCUUCCUCCAUAUAGUAAAAAUCCAAGUGCUGCAAACAAAGAGACACCUGCAAUAUACAUUCAUAACGGAUGAGAGACAGAAUACAUAAAAAGAAUAUAAUCAAUGUUGAUGCAAGUUGAAUUAUGCUUCAAGCUAUACCUGCAAAGAACAUCUUAGAAACUAUUACCAUAAGUUGAACUGGCUUCCACCACAAUACCAACCAAAGAGCAAUCUGAAAUUUAAUACAUUCACAUGAAUGAUAAAGUUAAGGAAGCCACAUCAAUCCGACACAAAUGGAUACAAAAGGAAAUUUAAGAAGAAGCUCAGGUCCACUAAGUUCAAAGUUAGAUCUAAAGUUCUGAACUUUGCAGAAAGGACCAAACAGAAGUAGUUUCACCUGAAUUAGGUAUACAACUGCAUUAAUUGUGAAGAAACUUGGCCUCAGUCCAUCAGUGGAUACAGCACGUGCCUGUUAGGAUGGGAGUAUAUAUCAACAACAACGCAUCAGAGAUAAAAUUCAGAAUAAUAUACAGAGAAUCAACUUUAACCUGGUAGUAAAUUUCUGCCCAAAAGAGGACCAGGAGCGCAUAAGUGGUAAAGAAAGCAAGACUUGGGAUGUCAAGCAAGAUAUGUUGCAGAAUCUACAAGUAAAACCAAGCGAGCCUUGCAAAUUCAGAAAAUCCACAUAGACCAUCAAUGAGGUUAAAAUCACAAUAUCAAUGAAGACACCAAACCUCUGGCUGCAUAUUCUGUGCAUCUCGCCUGAAGAGAAAAACUAGGGCUCGAACUACAAGGAAAAAGAGAAAGCAAUCAACAAAAGAUACAAAGACAAAAACUAAAAACUAAACAGACGACAACAAAAUCAGGCUGUGCAACAAAACCAACCUCCAUUCACCAGGAAGUUGAGAAAAUGAAAGACCUUCUGUGUCGUCCAGCCAUAGUCUGGAACCCUCAAUUGUAUUCUUACCAAUUGAAUCUACAAAAUGAAAACUUUAAUCAAUUUAUGUUUUUUCUCCGGCCACAAUCUGAACUCCCUACAAUACCUUUUACAAAGCAAUAAGAGUACCGAAAAAAAAAAAAAAAAAACCCAGCAUCUAUCUCCUCAUUUCAAUAUCUUCGAAUUCCCAAUCUUUCGAUUUCAGAAUAACCCAUUUCCCAAUUCCAAACUCAAAUCAACCAAACAUUUGAAAGCAGAAGGACAAGUACCACAGCAAUGACGGAAACAAUCCCAUAUAGAAAAGCGAGAAUAUGGAAGAUACGAUCCUGCCACAUCGGAGAUUCGUUCACAUCCGACCACCAAUUCGUAGCCUCCUUCAAAUUAAGCGCUAAGAUUGCUGCCGCCGAGGAAGAAGAAGACGAAGACAAAAUCCCCGACGAAGAUAACAUCAUUUCCAAACCGCCGCUUCUCAUCUCCGGAAUUUAAAAACACACAAUAUUCAGAUUCCUUACAGAUUUAGCUCCUUUGAUCGAUCGAAUCACUUCUCCUCUCUCCUCCUCCUUCUCCUUCUCCUUCUCCUUCUUCUUCUGUUUUAGGUUUUAUUAUUUUUCCUUUUUCCAACUUUUUUUUGUUUUGUUUAACUUUAAAGGUAAUUAUAGUAUUACCCGAAAUAAGAUUUUGAGAACGGCUGUGACAGGGAACACAAAGAAUGACGUGGAAGAAAUUAUAAGAGGUAACCGGAAAUAACCGGUGAUUCUCUCCGUCGGGAGAAGUUGCGGUGACCGACACGCGACGUUGUUAUCAUAAUUCCACGUGUAUGUAUGCAAUGCAUACGUCGAUUAGUUAAAUGCUAGUUUGGAUUUAAAUGCACUUUUUAGAGAUUGUGACUAAUGACGUUAACCAUUAGUUUAAAAGGUUUAUUAUAUUCAGUUUUAAUGUGUAACAUAAUAAAAGUCAAAGUUAAUGCCAAAUUAUUAAUUCCAAUAUAUAUUCAAAUAACAAACGAAUUAUUGCAGGAAAUUAGUUACGUACGCACAAUUACAACAAUAAUGAAUCAAAUGGAUGAUAUACAUGUAAACAUGUAACAAUUUGGAUUUUUAAUACUCUUGAGACUUUCUCGGAGAGAAGACUAUAUUAUAAUAACUCUUUUAAUUAACAGCAGAGCAGAUCCUUCGGAUUUGUCCAUCUGAACCAGUGAGUGUCUGAAUAUCUCCCAUUUUGAUCAUUGCAGCUGCAAAAUCAGACGCGAACCUAGAUGGGUUUCUGCUGUACUCCGUCACAAUACUGUCUGUUGAAGCUCCGGUUCCGAACAAAACUUGAUCGCUCGCCAAAAGACCUUUCUUCUGCAUCAAGUUUCUGUAAUAGUUAUUGUCGAACGAGUUUGGUGUCACUUGAUCUAGAGGUGCUCCAGUCGUAUCUCCACCGUUGACCGGACAACGACGCUUACGUGUGCUGGAGAAUCCUGCGUCGAUGUCACUCGAGUUGUCGUAAAGCCUAUCCCUGAACGUGAAGCAUUGAGCUUGCCCCAAGGUGUGAGCUCCUGUAGAUAGGGUUUACUUGUGUCACAAGAAAUUUCUUAAACGCUAAGAAAAUUAGAGAUUAAAGUGUGAUUUCUAGGGUGAAUAACCUGAGAGAGCGACGAGGUCUCUAGUGUUGAGUCCUUUUCGAAGAAAGAGUUCAGAGAGUGUGUCGAGGCUUGCGCUGAAGCUGGGGAGAUCGCCACUGUCUGCAAUAGCUCUAAACGCGGCGGUGGAAUCUCUCCUACCAACCUUCACCGCAUAUCUUGGACCUCCGACCUAUUGAUGAUACCAAAAUUUAAAUAUUUAAGUAUUAAUUAGAACUAUGAUCGUUUGUUAUACGUACUGUAAUACGAAAAAUGCUAUAUUUCUAGGAAAUAUGUAAAAAUAGUAGUUUAAGAUAUGAUAAUAUAUUUGAAGAUAUGUGUAUUAUAAAGAUGAUAUAGACUAACGUAUUCAGAAGCGUCUCUCGCGGCAACGGCAAUAAUAUCAGCGCAAGAAACAACGCCGGGACAUAUACUCUCCACAGUGGAUUUGGCUUGAUCGAUAACUUCAAACCCCCUUGCCGAUUGAAAAUUUGCUAGUGAAUCUCUCUCACUCUCCAUGUUAGGAGUUGCCACGAGCAUGAUCGAUGCAUCACAACCCUACGAAAAAGUUUCAAGAAAUAAACAUAAAUUUUAGAGCGGUCCAUGAAACACAUGUAUGUACAUGUUGGAUCAAAUGACAAUUACAUACAUUGACGAAGCAGUCGUGGAAAUGAAGACGGAUAAGAGAAGCAGCCAUUCUACGCUCACGGCUGAUUGCGGAUCGGAUUGAUGAUCUGAUGGUUGAGAGAGCGUUUGGACAAGUUUGGUCGUAGAAAGUAGGAGAAAGCUGUGCUUGAGAGAAACAAGACAAACUCAAUAACAAUACAAGAAUCUUGAAGAUCGUCAUUUGUUGUAACAACAAGAGACUCUAAUCUUUUUUUGUGAUUUAAGUAGUAAAACAAACGAUGUAAUAAGAGCUAAUUGAGAAGUGAUCGGAGAGUUGAAGAUGAUUUGGUGUGACUUUGAGAAAUGAGAUGAAACGAGUGUUAUAUAUAGGAACGAAACAAUCAAAUCGGUCACUUUUUUCUGCGGGAGCGCGUUAAAACCAUGACGACCAUUUCCUAAGUUGCCUUUUCUCCUUCAAGGCUUGUAUCAGUACAGAACAUCCUAAAAUUUAUGUAUACAAUGAGAUUUCUCAUAACUCUUUAAGGGUGAAUUGUUAAAAAAGACGAUUAUAUAUUUACAUUCUCAUUAUUGCAUUUAACAAUCUGAAAAUAUAUAAUUAUUCUUUUUGUUAAAAUGUAAUAAAUUUUAUUAUGAUAACGAAUUAAAUAUUGUUGACAAAAAAAAAUGAUCUAAAUAUUAUAUUUCAACAAUUAUUUACUUUUCUUGAGAUAUACGUUGUUUUCAACAAAAGAGUGUUAUCGGGAGUAUUUGAUUUUCACCAUCCCUUUUCCACUCUUGCAUUACUUAACACUGGAUUUAUGGAAAGCUAGCCUACGUUGACCAUACAAAUAUAACUUAAAAAUUAGAAGAAACCGUAUGGUUACACGAAAUUUUGAACAUUGACUUUUGACUUUUUGGAAAAGUAGUGAAAGAAUCUUUUAAAAGGAUAAUGUGAUGUCGCAUUGUCCAUACCACUAACCAUGCACAAGUGGGGUGGGCUGAGGCUGAUACUUAACUUGUUCGGCUUUGCUUCCCUCUUUAGGUAACUUUGUUCGUCGGGUUACUUCGAAACCUUAGAUAAAUUUGGUUCAUUUCGAUCAAAAUUUGUUAAACUCUAAUCCCCAAUUUCAGAUGUGAACGAUGUAGAACAAAAGAUACCCUAAAAAACCCAAUUAGCCUCAAGUGUUGAUGAUAUUGUUUAUCUCUGUGCGUAUUCUCCGUUGUAGUGAGUUUUCUUCACUGGAAAAAAUUGUAUAAACAAUAUGUUCCGUGGUUAAAAAUAGAUAUUUAAUUUAAAAUUGACUUGUAAUAAAAAAAUAAAUAUAUACAUAUACGUCAUUUGGUUUGAAUUAUAAUUGAGUACAGCUUUGAUGUGAUUGGAUCAUGUAAAACAGUUUGGAUCCAUGCACUCGUCUAGUAACAGUCGAACAUAGUUGAAUUGACCUUUAAUUUCCAUCAAAAGAGAAACGUACGAAACACACAUGCUCAUCAUCCAUAUUAAAUCACAAUAUAUACGUUUACAGGCAUCUAGAUUUGUGGUGGCGUGGUGCUGAAGCUGAUGCAUAGACAGCUAUCCUCGGUUGUUCAUUCUGACAUUGUACCUUUGUUUUGAUAUACGUUCCACAUUUUCUGAUAUUCAUAGAUUUCGGACGUGGAGUAGAGAUGAGUCACCAUGUAAUAAUAAUCAUCUAAGAAAACAAAAGGAAGUUGUGGUGUUUCUUUAAUUUCUGGGAAUCAUAAUUACAACUAAACUUAUGUCUGCAUGUAACAAUCAAACCUUUAAUAUUUUACUACGAAAACGGUGAAACACGACUACGUACGUAUAUGGUAAUGAACGUCGAUAGCGAUGCAUACAAAUUCUUCUUCUUCUUUUUUUUUUUUGGUUUCUUUUAGCGAAGGCAUACAAAUUCUUAUGACAACUUUUAUCAUGAUAAAAAAAACUAACCUAGUAAUUAAUAUAUAAAAUUUGAGGAUAAUAUCAUAAAUAUGGUUCUCUUUUACAAUAUGUACGUAGUGACAUUGCAAGUCAACUGAUUAAUCUUUUUUGGGGGGCAAAAGUCGGCUGAUUAAUCUAACCACUCUUUUUCACAAGGUAUGUAUACGUAGCUUAAUUCCAUUUUUAUUUCCUAACAAAAACCAAAUCGAUAGAAAACAUUUGGCCAUGAACCAAAUACAGAAGGUGUUGCAAACGGAUCAUUCAUCGGUUUUGAAACUAAUUUGGUGCCUUGUUGAUUUGGAUAGGAAAUUAAAUUAAAUUUAGUAUCUUUUAAUCAAAACUUCCGAGCUUUAUGUAUAUAUUGUACGUGUUUGACAUUUAAUUUUGACUUUUUCUUUUCUGGUUGUCGUCAAUUGUUCCUUUCAUACUAAUCGCACAAAUAAUUUUUUGGUAUAGUCUUCAGAUCCGUAUUCCAACCUAUAUAUGAUUAUAAGAAAUAGAAACUAAAAUUAAGCGCUUACUAAUGAUGUUCUUGUUUUGUCUUCCCAAUCCUUUAGUUAUGUUCUUUUCUAAGUUAACAAUUUGACCAAAAUACAAAGUCAGAUCCCCAACAAUCUUUAUUUAUUAUAAAUAUUUUCUCUAAUAUCACACAGUCUCCAACUUUGAACAGUGACACAGCCUUUAAAAAAAAAUGCGACACCGCGUGAAAAUUCCCAUAUGCACGUAUAUAUACUCCCCUUUAGGGUUUGUAACAUUCAACAUCAAGCUCAAUCAAAUACCAUUCUUGAUCAACAAAUUCACCAACAAGAAAAUAUUAGGAUUGUUAACUACAUCUGGGGAUAUUCCAAUAUGAAGAGAUUUUCACUAAUGUUUACGUUGAUGACGGUGAGCAUCAUCCUCUCGUUCUCGAUCUGUCAAGCACAACUUUCUCCAACAUUCUACGAUCAAUCUUGUCCGAAUGCUCUCACCAAGAUUCGAUCCUCCAUUAGAACCGCCAUAGCUCGUGAGCGACGAAUGGCCGCGUCUCUUAUCCGCAUGCAUUUCCACGACUGUUUUGUUCAUGUAAGUUUUCAUUCUUCCAAAUACUAGUUCAGUACGUAGUUUCACAUUUUUGGAAACACAUUCAUAUAUAAUACUGUUGUGUAUGUUUAGGGUUGCGACGCGUCGAUAUUGCUCGAGGGGACAUCAACGAUAGAAAGCGAGCGAGAUGCAUUGCCAAACUUCAAAUCCGUAAGAGGUUUUGAAGUCAUAGACAAAGCCAAAUCCGAAGUCGAGAAAGUUUGUCCCGGCAUUGUUUCUUGCGCUGACAUCUUAGCGGUUGCGGCAAGAGACGCUUCCGAAUAUGUAUGUUACUGAUUAAUUAUAUAUUUAUGUAUAAUAUGUACCAAACAUCAUUUUAAUAAUAAACCAUAUAUAUAUAUAUAUAUAUAUAUAAUAAUUGUCCAACUACAAUAUUUAGGUGGGAGGCCCGAGAUGGACGGUGAGACUCGGAAGGAGGGAUUCAACAGACGCGUUCAAGGCCCUGGCCAAUAGUGGUGAACUUCCUGGCUUUAAAGAUAGCCUUGACCAACUCUCUGGUCUCUUCAGCAAGAAAGGCCUUAACACAAGAGACCUUGUGGCUCUCUCAGGUUCGUGCAAGAUUAUAUUUCUAUACCAUUGAAAAAAAAUUUCCAUUAAUAAAUGUUGAUAUUUUUUUUUAAUUUGUGAUUUGCUAUGCUAUUAUGGUAAUUACAUUGGCUCUUGUUACAGUAUACCAUGCAUAAUUCGAAGUGAUAUUUAUAUAUUUGUGUAUGCUAUUCAGGAGCUCACACCAUAGGGCAAUCUCAAUGCUUCUUGUUCCGGGACAGGCUUUACGAAAACUCGAGCGACAUCGACGCAGGAUUUGCCAGGACGCGCAAACGCGGAUGCCCAACAGUGGGAAGUGAUGGCAAUCUUGCAGCCUUGGAUCUUGUUACGCCUAAUUCUUUCGACAACAAUUACUACAAGAACUUAAUGCAAAAGAAAGGACUUUUAGUAACCGAUCAAGUUUUGUUCGGAUCCGGUGCAUCAACCGACGGCAUUGUGUCGGAAUAUAGCAGAAACCGAUUGAAAUUCGCGGCAGAUUUUGCCACAGCCAUGAUCAAGAUGGGUGAUAUUGAACCUCUUACUGGCUCUACCGGAGAAAUCAGAAGGAUAUGCAGCUUCGUUAAUUAACAACAAUCAUGCAUUUUAUUGCUUGUUAAAUUUAUUUGUUGAUUCUUUGUUGUAAUUGUUUGUAAUUUCUGCCACCAAUUUGUGUAUUGAUUUUUUUCAUUUUAAGAAACUGAAUAAUAAUGUCAGAGUUUAUAGUUAUUUCUUUUGAUGAUUAAAAAUAUUCGAUACUAUUUGGUUAAAUGUGACCAAUGAAUACGCGGCUCCACCAUAAAUUGGGUGCAACAUGUCACAUGUGAUAUAAACUUAAAAAGGUAUCACUCUGUUUCUUCGAGCCUGUGAAAAUGCGCGACCAAUGAGAGUAAGCUAAACAGAGCAAAAGACCGAAGUUUGAAUCGAAAACUUUCGUCUUCCUUAAUUCUUCUCUCAGAUUUUUACGGCGAGCCACUACUCGCUAUACAUCAGCCCCAUAUAUAUCCUGAAUUUUCUCCGGUAACUUCUUCGUAUAUAUAUACAUAUCUCUCCCAAAAACAUUUGGUUCCCGUUCGUGAAUUAGCGGUAGGGUUUCAUUUGUCUCUCCUCGACGAAUUUUGUCCCAUUGAUUGGUUCGUUUGGAUCUGAAGAGUUGUUCGAUUUUGAUCAGUCUGAAAAGGGUAUUUGUUCGUUUGCUCAAUCGAUCGAGUUUGUUCGUGGGUUCGUUCUGCUGUGGAAUAGUAUCUGGAUCUGUUAGAUUAAAGACUAGAUUUUUAUUUUUGGUUGCGAUUGAGCUGUGGGAAAAUGAAUUGAUCUUCAGGUGGGGUUGGAUCAUCUAAGAGUGUUUCAUUGAGGCUGUUAAUGAAUAUUGCUGUAAGAGAGGAGGAGAAUCUGCUUUUAAGCUAUUCGUGCUCUUUUCUGGGAUUUCUCUGUUUCUCGAGUUUAAGUUUCGGUAAGAGAUCUGCCGCCGCCGUAAACCCUAGAUUUAGAUGGGAUAAGGCGUUUUUUCAGAUUAGAGGAGAGAACGUUCCGAAUUUGACUUAGUUGAAGUGAGAUGGGUUCUUCACAAGGCUCCACACUCUCGGCUGAUGUGAUGAGCCUUGUGGAUACAUUGCCUGUGCUUGCAAAGACCCUUAUCGCUGGAGGAGCUGCUGGGGCUAUUGCUAAGACUGCCGUUGCACCUUUGGAAAGGAUCAAAAUUCUAUUGCAGGUGAUUCUCCCAUCAUAUUAUUUUUCAAUGGCUCUGAUUAUAUCUGUUUUACUGGUUUGAUCAAAUUCGAAGAUAUUUGCUUUGCUGUUCAUUGAGCUUCAGUACUGUUUUUUCUUUUUUACCAUCUACUGAUUGUGUACUUGUGCUUUCAACACUAGACUAGAACAAAUGAUUUUAAGACUCUUGGUGUGUCCCAGUCGCUAAAGAAGGUGUUACAAUUUGACGGUCCUCUUGGAUUUUAUAAGUAAGUACCUAGUAGUGUGACUCUUAUUUUGUAGCUUAUCCCAAUCACUUUUCUAAAUUCUUUUGAUGUGCAUAAUUCUUCCAGAGGAAACGGGGCAAGUGUUAUUCGAAUUAUUCCUUAUGCUGCCCUUCAUUACAUGACGUAUGAAGUUUAUCGUGACUGGAUUUUGGGAAACAAUCUUCCUUUAGGUUCUGGUCCAAUUGUUGAUCUUGUGGCUGGUUCAGCUGCAGGCGGAACAGCAGUUUUGUGCACAUAUCCUCUUGAUUUAGCUCGCACUAAGCUAGCUUACCAGGUUUGUGAUUUCGAAUACCCUGCUUUUGCUGUUUCCUUACAGAACAUGAAGGAUGUCUUUUUGUUUCUUCUCUUAUGCCGUUGUUAUUCCAUUUUAGGUGUCUGACACAAGACAGAGUCUCCAAGGCGGUGCAAAUGGAUUUUACCGUCAACCUACAUAUUCAGGCAUAAAAGAGGUGCUUGCAAUGGCUUAUAAAGAAGGGGGACCACGUGGGCUAUAUCGAGGCAUAGGUAAAGCUCAUAAAAUUUGCUUGCAUUAAUGAUUAAAGUGUAUAUUAAAUUGGUAGAGGAAGUCGUUUCAACUAUAAAGAAAUCUAGUUUAAUCUUGGGUAGUUUAGUUUAGUAACAAACUGACUCUUCGACCCCAUUUUGUGUGUGAACUUUUCCUAAUUUGGAUUUGAAGAUGAUUAACAAAGGUUGGCACUUUCUUGUGUGUUUUGCAGGGCCAACACUGAUUGGUAUCCUUCCUUACGCGGGCCUUAAGUUCUACAUAUAUGAGGAGUUGAAAAGACAUGUUCCGGAAGAGCAUCAAAACUCUGUUAGAAUGCAUCUACCUUGUGGAGCUUUAGCUGGUUUAUUUGGCCAGACCAUCACUUACCCAUUGGAUGUUGUUAGGAGACAAAUGCAGGUAAAAACAAACAAACCACAAACAAGAUUCGAGCAUUGCAACAUUUCAGAAUUCAUAACUUAUCUGGUGUUUUUGUGUGACAACAGGUAGAGAAUCUGCAGCCUAUAACGAGUGAAGGCAACAACAAGCGUUACAAGAACACAUUUGACGGGCUUAGCACAAUAGUUAGAACUCAGGGUUGGAGACAGUUGUUUGCUGGUUUAAGCAUCAACUACAUUAAGGUAAAACAGAUUGAAAAACACAGUGGAUCCAAGAUCAUAGUCUGGAUUCCACUUUUUGUUCCUCUUCCAAAAUUAUGACUCAUCGAUUGUCUUUGUUUGCCAGAUUGUUCCAUCGGUUGCGAUUGGAUUCACGGUCUAUGAGUCAAUGAAGUCAUGGUUGCGGAUUCCACCGCGAGAAAGAUCAAAACCAGCAUGAGGGUCACUCUCUGAAAAUAGAGACACAGAAGACAGAAGUACUGAUAAUUUGUUAGACAGAUUUCACUUCAAUAUUUGUAACUUCCUGAGGCAAAUUUGCCCAUAAAAAUCCUUGAUAGUGAUGAUAUUCUUUGAUAAAUUAAUCAAAAAGUUAAAUUAAUUGUGAUCUAACCCAAAACAAAAAUAAUAUUUACGUAACUGUUGUACAGCAAAAGUUUGAAAAAUGUGAUGUGUUUAAGUCUAAAACAACUUAAAUGAUAGUAUGAUUAAUAAUAAUUAAUAAUGGGGCAAUAUCUUAAAAAUGAGUUCAAUGAUGGACCGACCAAUUUUAACAUGCGUAUGUGUUUUUGAAAAUGUCAUAAACAACCCCACUUCCUAGCACGAAUCACUCGACACGACUUGAGGUUAUAUAGUAGUCUAUUCGGGGUAUAAUAGUCUUUUUGAUCCGGUGAACCCGAGCUCAAGAGAUGUGUAUUUUUGGCAGUAAGAUCAUCAAAAAAAGAGUUUUAUUUGUCUGCAGUUCCCUUCUUCUUCUCCUCUCGCAGGAUUCGGCUCUUCAGUUCUUAAUUUAAUCCUCAUCUUCUGGGCAAGUCUGAUUCGUUUCUAUUAUAAUUUCUGGGCUUUUUUUCCCUUUUUUCUUUUCAUUGCCAGAUCAUUAUUGUAAUUGUUGUUUUAUUUUUCUCUCAGAAAUUAGAGGUUUUUUUGAGGGUUUGUGGUCUUAGCAAUGGAAGGAAUGGUGUCUUCCGGUGACCAGCAGAGAUUAGUCUCUUCCUUCCUUGAAAUCGCUGUCGGACAGACCGCUGAAACUGCUCGGCAGUUCUUACAGGUUUGUGCUCGAAACUGGUAGAUUUGUUUCUUCUCGGAGGGUGCCUUUGGUCAAACUGAUGGAUCAGUGUGAGUGAGCUUAACCUUGAUUGGUUUUCUUCUGAUUCACUGCUCUUUUGGGUCGUAAGUGUUUGCUUCGGAGUUAUUUCAGCUUAGGAACCUCUGGGAUGUCGAGUUGAAACCCUAGAUUAGGUCUCUCAUUUUUUUCAGCUUAUGGCAAAAUUUGAUGAGCACUCUUGACUAGAUUGUAAUUAGAUGCAGUGAGCUUUUUUUUUGGUAACUAUCGGUUGAUCUGGAUUGAGAAUAGACGAGAUCUUUGUGGUUGGUUCCUAUGGUGUUACGAUCUGCAUUGUGAUGAGAUUAGCUUGGCGUUUUUUUAUAUUCUUUGUGUGUGAUCAUUUUUUAAUUCAUAUGAUUUGUAAGUAACUCAUUUAUCAACAGGCAACAAGCUGGAAGCUUGACGAAGCUAUUCAGCUUUUUUACAUUGGAAAUGAAGGUGGUAUGCUUCCGUCUGGUACACACACUCAGCCAGAAUCCAAUGAUCACAUGGCUACACAAUCUUGGGGGUAUGAUAAAUGAUUAAUGUUAUAAUUUCUUCACUGUAAGUAUUAUCCAUUUUUGGUUUGUUCGACCUGAUGGUUUGCUGUUAUAUUUUAUAGGGCGGGUACAGACACAGGAAAUCAAGGGAUAGUUCAGAGCGAUGUAGAUGAAGUCCGUGCUCCUUUGCCUGUUGUGAGGGAGACUCUUUAUGGUGACGCAGUGUAUUAUGGGUUAGUCUCUUUUUCGCUUGCUUCUUUGUUUUUUCUUAAAUCAGGAUAUUGUUUCUAGGUUGAAGAUUUAUCCUCGGAGCUGCGUCUCCGGACAGCAGAUUGUAUGUUGAAGAUUUAGUGGAUGUAGUAACAACCAAUGAUGUAGGUUACUUGAAAUUUUGGAGUUACCCUCUUUAGUUUCUUGAUUCGCAGGGGUUGGUUGAUUUCUCUACUGUUCUUCUUCCAAGUGCAGUUUUUGGAUUUACUAUUGUUCCAGUUAGCACUAGUUAGGAUUCUCAUUUAGGAUUAAUUGAUGCUGUUAACUCAUAUCAGACCUGGUUGAAUAUCCAGUUGGCUCUACUAAGUUGUUAGCAAAAGUCAGGUUCUGGCUCUGUUGGAAUCUCAACUGUUGGGGAGCACAUUACAAUUGCUUCUGCAGUUAGAUCACUCCAAACUUCUGUUUUUGGCAGCCAGCUGAAGCAUAGUGUUUAGUCUUUUGUUCUCAAGGCGCUUUGUAUGAUCAUGUAGUUAAGGUUGCUCUAGUUGACUAUGUGUCAGGCUGUCAACGUCAUGUUGGUUCAGUUCCUUGCCUUGCCUCAACCAAUUCAAUAGACAAGGAAAAAAUGCAUGUAAAGUUGUACGUCCCAGGGAAGCUAUUAACAAGUACACAAACUAUGUACCACUGUUAGAAGUAUAAUCACGUUCCUCUAAAAUUGUUGUUUUCAUCUUUCAUAAUCCCAUUGAAAUCAGCAUCUCGGACAUGUUUAAUCAUAUACCCAUUCUAUGUCGAUAUUGGUUUAUUUUUUUAAUGCUGAUGAUACACUUUUCUAGCAGUACAUGAUGAAUGUAGUUCUCAUAAUUUACUUGCAUUUGUGAUUAGGGCUAUGAGGGGGGGAAACUCUCAGCCUGAACCAACUUCUUUGAUUGCUUUCCGGAACUUCAGUGAAGAGCCAAAAAGCCCGGGAAUUUGGGAACCAGAUGAAGGUGCUUCCUCUGCCUCAGCGUCAGCCUCAGCCUCUGCAUCAGAGUCAUCAUCUGCUCCUCGGGACAGCUUGGCAUCGUUGUACCGUCCUCCUUUUCAUCUGAUGUUCCAUGGCUCUUUUGAACAGGUUUUUGACUCGGUUACUUGUUUGGCUAAUUGCUUUUCUGCUUUCUUAUUCUAAGCCUCUCUCUAUGGUUUUUUGUUCAGGCAAAAGCUACUUCAUCUUCUCAGGAUAAAUGGCUUCUCGUCAACCUUCAAUCUACCACGGAAUUCAGCUCACACAUGGUAUACUCUCUGAUAUUUCCUUUUUCUGGAUUUAUUUCUCGACUAAAUUUUUGACGAUAGCACGCACAUAUAGGGGUGUCCAAUCUGUUUUUGGUUAGGGUUUAGUUUAGAUUUUUUUCUUUUCAUUUUCAUAUUUGUUUGUUUUCAUUUCAAUUGAGAUUUGAUUUCUUAGAGAAUAUAUCUUCAUUGUGAAAGAUUUUUUAAGAAAAAGUGGGCUUUCCUUCUCGUUUGUUUUGGUUUUGGCCUGUUUGAAUAAUAGAACUGGAUUGGUUUAUCUUCUCUUCCGUUUGGUUUUUUGUUUCAGCUCCGAUAGUUAAACUGUAUUUUACACCCGCUCACAUCCUAACUAAUUGUGUUUCUUUCUCAUAGCUUAAUCGAGAUACUUGGGCGAAUGAUGCUGUUUCUCAGACUAUCAAAGCCAACUUCAUCUUCUGGCAGGUUUAAUAUAAAACUUACCCCUUAACCUUCUGCUUGCUUUCCGAAAUUCUCUUUACAGAAUUGGUUAAAAUCCCUCCUUUUCUGGUCUAGGUCUAUGAUGAUACCACAGAAGGAAGGAAGGUUUGUACAUACUAUAAGCUCGAAUCUAUUCCUGUGGUGCUUGUAAUUGAUCCAACCACUGGUCAAAGGAUGAGAAUGUGGAGUGGAAUGGUCGAACCAGAGAAUUUGCUAGAGGAUUUAGUGCCGUUCAUGGAUGGUGGUCCUCGUGAACACUUUGUUUCUCUUUCAAAGAAGCGACCAAGAGGCAGCUUCUCAUUGACUCCUCAUUCCAAACCCAAAGGUUAGUCUCAAAAAAUUUCUGCAACUUCAGUGUCUAGUCUGUUGGGAAAAAAUGAUUGACCUUGGCUUAUAUUCCUUUAGAUGAUGUUGCAAAAGAUGAAGAAGAAGAAGAACUGCAACGAGCUUUAGCUGCUUCCUUGGAAGAUAACAACAUGAAAGACUCUUCAGAUGAUCAAUCGACAAUAACGCCUGAUGAAGUAGCGGUUGAAGCAGUUACAUCUGCGGUACUGCCAACAUUCCCACCACUUCCGGAAGAACCAAAGGGAGGUGAUCGCAGCGUACAAUGCAGAGUUGGGAUCCGUUUACCCAACGGACAAAGACUUCAAAGGAAUUUCCUCAAAACAGACACGAUUCAGGUCCUAAGAAACAACAUUGAUUCUUGCUCAGUAUUUUUGUCUGAGGUUUUCUGAUCUAAUUGCUGUCUCUAUUGUAGCUUCUCUGGUCUUUCUGCUAUUCUCAGCUUGAGGAAUCAGAUAGGAAGAAGCCACUGAAGCUAACACAAGCGAUUCCAGGUGAAUCAAAGACAUUGGAGUAUGAAUCUAACUUAACCUUGGAGCAGUCUGGUGUUGCCAAUUCCAUGAUCUCUGCUACAUGGGAAUGAAAAAUCAUUUCUAUAAAACUUUCUAUUAUGCUGUUUCUUAAUGUUUAUCAGAUUAGUUAUCUUGUCAGCGAGUUAAAGAAAAAACACACAUUAUGAUAUUUGAUUUGCAAUGAAUGAGAAAUUCAUAUAUUAUGGAUAUUAUAGACUUUUUAAUGUUAUAACAUGUGAUGAUGAUGUGCAUAAUAGUUGAGUUCGACAUUAUGAAACUCAUUACCCAAUAAACUUCUACUUCCAACUGAUUAAAGUGGACUAAUUGAUGGUUUUUAGACUAAAUACAAGCAAGCAAUUCCAGGCGAAGGCAUUGGAGUAUGAAUCUAACUUAACCUUGGAGCAAUCUGGUUUUGCCAAUUCCAUGAUCUGUGAACUAUGAUGCUGUUUCUUAAGUUUAUAGAUUACUUAUUUUAAACUCGAGUUAGAAAAAGAAAAACAUUAUGAUAUAGUUUGCAAUGAAAUGGAGGAUAAUCUAUUAUAGAUACUAUAUGCAUUUUAAUUUUAUUUCAUAUGCAUAAAUUAUGUAGUUGAAUUUCGACAUUAUUAAACUCAUUACUCAAUAAGCUUCUACCUCCGAGUGAUUCACAUAAUUGGAUUAAUUAAUGGUUUCUAGACAAAACGGUCACUCGACAAAAAAUGAGGAGCUAAUAAUACAUUUAUUGAUUUCUUAAAUCUCUACUAAUUAAUUAAAUAAAAGUUAAUGAUUUUAAGACAAACUGUCACAAUGCUUAUAUUUAGACAAUAACCAACAAAGAAGCUAAGUUGUAAAGCUGAUUCAGUUAGAACGCUACGCGCACAAGUGGAGCGUGAAUUACACGAUUCACACGGUUGAAGUAAGGAGCGCGCGUGUGCCCGUUUCACGUUUUGCAACACGGAGCGUAGGAGACUAGGAGUAGACCCAACAAAUCCAAAACCACAUUGCUGACAAGUGGCAAUCAUAAGUAAAUAACUUUGAAACCAAAUUUAGAAAAAAAUACUACUAUUACAUAUUCUUGUACAAAUGUAACAGCAGUAAGAAAAUCAUUUUAUUGUAUUAAUUAAAAUAUGAGCUGUAAUUAACCUUUUUUAUUAUUAAGAAAAAUAAAUUGGCUUUUGGUCAAAACAUAAUCAUAAUAUGUACCAUACAUUUGAGAGCACGUGUACGAGUAAGACCUUAAUUUAUUUAUGUAAUUUGGAUUUAUAUUACAUUUAAAAAAUAUAUUUUAAAGUUACUUUUUUGAAACAGCUAUAUUUCAAUAUUAAUAGUUUUUCACUAAUUAUAGGAAAAAAAAAGAGAGAGUCAAAACUGUUAGUAAUUGAGUUAAAAACACCUCGUAACUGGAAGACACAUGUUCAACUAAGUUUAACUGUUUUGACUGCAAUUUUAUAUAUUUCCCUUUUUAUAAAUUUUAAUUAAUUAAAAAAUAUCUUUUUGAAAAAAAAGUCUAGUGUUUAGUAUUAUAUAUAGGAAAAAAACUUUUCUAAAUGGUAACGCCAAAAUAUACUUUUUGUGUUUACAAGUGUCAAAAUAUACUAAUUAAGACUUUUUGUAUUAUUCUAACAGUCAUAUUUUGAAAAUAAUCACAUUAAUGAAAUAAUAAUAUUAAUAACUUUUCUUUAAAAAAAAUGCAUACCAAAUUUAAACCGGUAUUUUUAAAAACAAAAAAAUUAAGGGUAAAAAUGAUACUCAUAAGAAAUGAAAUUAAAUAAUUUAAUUUAAUUAGUAACAUUUUAGUAUUCCCUCAUGGUUAAUUAAGUAGGUAAACUAUAUAUCAUUAGAGGUAAAAAAAACAAAUUUUAAAAAUGAAGAAGUAGAAGUGAAAGCUUGGCUAUGGUAUAUGGACAAUGGUGGGUUGAAAGACAAGAAUCAUGAGUUAAAUGAAGAGAGAGAGAGAGAGAGAGAGAGAGAGAGAGAGAGAGAGAGAGAGAGAGAGAGAGAGCGAGAGAGAGAGAGAGAGAGAGAGAGAGAGAGAGNNNNNNNNNNNNNNNNNNNNNNNNNNNNNNNNNNNNNNNNNNNNNNNNNNNNNNNNNNNNNNNNNNNNNNNNNNNNNNNNNNNNNNNNNNNNNNNNNNNNUACUUUUUAAUUAUAUUUUUCUCUAUGGAUCUUUGUAUCAGCUUUAGCAAAUCCAGAAACAGCUGAGAAGAAAGAUGUCUUCAUCCUACAACAACUCAAUUGCCUCAUCCUCCACUCAGUCCUUCCUCCUCUCAGGUGCUGCUGCUGCUGCUUCGGGUGUCGGAGCUACCAACUUCAACCGUGAUCAAGAGCCCCCGAUGACGAUGCUUCAACCACCACCCAACUCCACCGUUGCUCCACCACCCAAGAAGCGAAGGAACCAACCUGGAAACCCAAGCAAGUGCCUCUUACUUUAUUAAAAGAACCAUUUCAUCACAACCCUAAUCUAAUUCAUGUCUUUUGAUUUAUCAUUAUUUGAUGGUUUUCUCUUGUGGUGGAUGAUCUUCGUUUAUUUUUUACAAGGGGAUAAGUGUUAUUUGAUGUGGUUGUGUCUUAAACCGAUGGUUUUAAUUGGUUCAACCUGAUUAAUUAAUUUUUGUGUGUGUGUGUGUGUUUUUUUUUUAAUUUGGAACAGAUCCAGAUGCUGAAGUGAUAGCGUUAUCUCCAAAGACGAUAAUGGCGACCAACAGGUUCAUCUGUGAGGUGUGCAACAAAGGGUUUCAAAGGGAACAGAACCUGCAGCUUCAUAGGAGGGGACACAACCUCCCAUGGAAGCUGAAACAGAAGUCAAACAAAGAAGUGAGGAGGAAGGUGUACCUUUGUCCGGAGCCCUCGUGCGUCCACCAUGACCCCGCACGUGCUCUCGGAGACCUCACCGGAAUCAAGAAGCAUUACUACCGGAAGCACGGCGAGAAGAAGUGGAAAUGCGACAAGUGCUCUAAGCGCUACGCUGUUCAAUCCGAUUGGAAAGCUCACUCUAAGACUUGUGGUACCAAAGAGUAUCGAUGUGACUGUGGUACCAUCUUCUCUAGGUAAACUAUCUUUCUCGAUUCCAUAUAUCAUCCCGAUGAAUUUUUGUCUUUUAUUUAUUUUUUUACAUUUUUUAAUUAAAUCGAUUAUUAAAAUAUAUGUGUUUAGCUAAUCCAAUAUAGAUCGUACUCAAGUGGUUUUCAUUUCUUGGGGUCAAAACUUAACUCGGUUUUUGUUUUCUUACUGUGAAUUUAUCAUGUCGGCUCUAGAUUUUUAAGGUUAGUACUCUACGCUUCUGCUUGAUAGAGAUUCAAGUUAGAAAAGAAAAAACAUGUCGGUCAGUGAAUAGUAAACGUUUAACUAAUGAAUGUGCAAGCUAUAGUGUGGUACCGUCUCUGUGUGUGUGUAUAUAUAUAGACCUGUGAGUGAAAUCUAUGCAUAUAGAUAGAUAAAUAUCAUCAUCAUCUAUAUUGGCCACGGAACAUCAUAUAUUUCCUACAUAGGGACAUGAACAUAUAUAUAUAUUUACACAUAGGAUCUAUCAAUCUCUUUGUUUGGUUGCUGAUGAGUAGUGAAAGAGAGAAGGACAGUGAAGGAGAAAGGAGAAAAAUAAAAGAUGCUAAAUUUGGUCACAUGUGAGUUGGAUUUGUUUCCAUGCAUUCCCAUUUUUGUUUUCUUCUUCUUCACCUUUGCAGGUUCCUCUUUCCAUGUAACUCCUCUUCUCGUGGACCCCCAUGCAUCCCCUUUCUCUCUCUCUCUCUUCAUAUUAUAUAUAUAUAUAUGUAUAUAUAUGAUUUUGAUUUUUAUUUAUGUGUAAGAGUGGUUGGUUUCGAUUGUUUUGUUAAUGAAUAUUGUGGUCGUCCUCGUGACAUAGUAGUAGGAGUAGUUGAUGAACACUUUUUACAUUUCUAGGGUUUUUAUAUUUUCUUUUUAGCUUUCAUGGUGUUGGUCAAACAUUUUUCUAAUUGCUUAUUGGGUUGUGAUUGCAGGAGAGACAGCUACAUCACCCACAGGGCCUUCUGCGAUGCUUUGAUUCAGGAGUCAGCAAGGAACCCUACCGUGAGCUUCACGGCUAUGGCAGCUGCUGGUGGUGGCGCCGGCAGACAUGGCUUUUUCGGCGGCGCUGCUUCUGCUCUCUCUCACAACCAUUUCGGUGGUACUUCAGCUUCUGGGUUUACCUCUCUAGCUGCAAGUUACAAUCUGAACCGUUCAUCGUCCGACAAGUUUGAAGAGUACGCUCCUCAGUCGGCUAACCCUAAUCCCGGUGGUCCUCCCAACUUCCUCAUGCAAUGCGCUGCGAACCAAGGACUGUUAGCGCAGAACGACCAGGGUCUCAUGAACCAGCAUGGUCUGAUGAACCUCGGUGAUCAUAACCUCAACAGCAACAACAACAACUUGUUCAACUUGGGAUACUUUCAAGACACUAAGAACCCUAACCAGACAAGUGUUCCUUCUCUUUUCACCGGUGGUGGUGCUGAUAACAACGAUUCUUCUGCUUUGCUAAGAGGGUUACCUCCUUCAUCUCCUUCAAGUGUCGUCGUCAAUGACUAUGGAGAUACUGGGAAUGGAAACCUUCAAGGUCUGAUCAUGAACACUCUAGCUGACUCGUCUGACCAUCAAAGCCGGUCCGGUAGCAUUUUUGACCUUCACUUCGGGAGCAAUCUUAGCAUGGGAGGCUCCGAUAGGUUGACUUUGGACUUUCUUGGCGUUAAUGGAGGUGGAAUGGUGAGCACCGUCAAUGGUCGUGGUGGUCGUAAUGGAGCUCCCCUGGACACUGAGAUGAAGUUUUCACACCCAAAUCAUCCAUUUGGGAAAGCUUGAAGAUGAUCGUAUAUGUUUGUAUAUACAGAUCAUCCAAAUCAUGAUCUUUCUGGGUUCUUUGGAGAUUCUAUUUUAAAGCUUUAAUUUCUUUCGUUUGCUAUUUUUGACUAUAUUAUUAAGGGUAAGGGGUUAGCUUUGGGGUUUUUUUCUUAUUUUGUAAUAUACUUUCCUUUAUAAGUUCUCUUUUAUAAUAUCAUGGGUGGGAGGCUCGAACAUGAGUUUUUCCUUAUAAUGAAAUAUAUAAUCUUCAACCAAUUGAGUCUGUUCAACCUUUUUUUUUUUUUAACUUCAUGCAAAAUAUUUUUUUCACAAUAUAAUCAAUCUUUUAAAUAAGAUAUUAAUAUUAAUUAAUCAAUGUCAUCUAUAAAUAUUAGAGUUUUUUAUUAUCUAAUUUAAAAGUAUCCUGAGAAUCGAACCUCCGAUCGUUGUUAGUAGAAACAACGCGUUUCUACCAACUCUUCUAUCUUAUCCGUUUGUUCUAUUAGUUCUUCAAUAUGAUAUAUAUUGUAGGUUUCGAGCCCAAAUUUUAUUUAUAUGGGCUUAGGGCCGAUAAUCUUAUUCAAUAUAUUUUGGAUUAGAUAUAAAAACUGGAUUGAGAAAUAGAUGUACAAUAGAUAUUGAACAACGCGUCUCUACCAACUCUUCUAUCUUAUCCGUUAGAUAUGUAUUUUAGGCCCCGAACCCAAACUUUAUUUGUUUGGGCUCAAAGCCGAUGACCUUAUUCAAUAUAGUUUAGAUUAAGUGUUGAUUAUAAUAGAUUUACAAAAUAUAUUGAGCAAUACCAAAUUACAAUAUACAUCUGCAUCGAUCAAGUGAAUUAGAAUUUAAAUUCAAAUUUAGCUAUAUAUAAUAUGCAAAGAGAAACCAUUUUAAAAGUCCCACAUGAAGAGAUAUGUAUAUUAUUAAUUCUGGCAUGACAAAUGAAUAAAUUCGAUUCAUGAUAUAGAAAUUAUAUAUCCCACGUUGCACAUGCAAGUUAUGAGAAGAUUUCAAGAGAUAUCUGUCUACAAUAAUACGUCAACGGAUCGGAUAAUAUUCCAACAAAAGCAUAAUACAAACAGAAGCAUCCAACAUUCCCAAAAUUAUUCAAAUUCGUGUCGUAAUCCAAUUUUUAUAAUAUAUAAAAGGACGUGUUAUUAUAUAGAUUUCUGUUGUAAUCUGCUAUGUAGAUUAUUACUAUAUAUACGAUAGAAGAUGUUCGGCCACCUAAUACAAAAUAACCGAGAGUAAGAAAAAAUAUUACAUAUUAAUACAUACUUAAUUAGUAGCUAAUUAUUAAAGUAAGUUGAUAACUUGUUUUUUUUUUUUCUAAAUAUAUAUGAGUUUCUACGUACGGAUUAUGAACCGUCAAACAAUUUUGAACUUAUAAAGCAAAAGGGUGUGUUGACAUUCCGAAGACAACCCUUUUCCUUUUGUCGUCAAGGGUAGUUAUUUAAGUUCAUUCAUUAUAGAACACUCGCUAGUGAUACAAACACCGAAGACAUUAUAAGUUAACUCUGUUUCUUCUGGUCUUUAUUGCUACUUCCCGACGUUGACUCUACCUAUGAAUUUUUCUAUGUUUCGAUCCUACUUUUCCACACACACACACACAUAUAUAUAUAGAUAGAUAGAUAAUUGUAAUAGUGUAUUUAUGACCUUCUUAUAAUAGUAAGGGUUAUUAAAUAUAAAAAACCAAACGAUGAAUUUUAGAUAUUCGAUAUCAUAAUCAUAUCAUUACGAUACGGACCUAAAUUAAUUAGUAAUCAUUAAAGUGAUACUUAGUAGUACUGAAGAGUUUUCUAUUUAUAACUAUAAUAUAACCCUAACGACGCUAAAAGAUAUUUAUUGAUCCCUAUAUUACGUAAACUAUCACAACAUUUCAAUCAUUCAUCAUCAGAUUAUUCAGACUGAUGCAUAAUCAAUCAGAUGAUUUAAUUUAUUUCUACACACAAACGUAAAACAAAAAUCUAUAUACGUACAAAUAACAAAGACACAUUCAAAAUCAUUAUAAGAAAAAAAACAUAAGAGAGAGAAGAAAAGAAAGAAAAGAAAAUAUAAAAGCAUGUGCAUGGUAGACUUGUCGUUGACGUGAAGGAUUUAAAUAUGCCCGUGAAGAGAAAUAUUAUCGAAAAAAAUCGAUGAAAACUGCAAAAUGCUUUCGGAUAUCUUCUUCGCCUUUCUCGUUGGUCCACUUCAUUUAUGGGCAAUCUACAAUUGGGGCCUAUACGUAAUCUGCAUACGCAUACGAUAUACACGUAGACUUUAGAAUUAUAGUAUGUACGUGCCUUAUUUCACGUGGAAAAGAUAAAUAUUAGUUUUAAAAUUUUGGAUAUUUUUCGUAUUAGGGUUUUCUUAUCUCGGUUUCCAAAUAGAAAACCUAUAAAUAGUUACCGGUUUUAGCCGCAUUUUAUUCUUUCAAAUAUAACUUCUUUUGGUAAUAUCUAUUUAAAUGGUAACAACAGAUUUGUUUUGGGUGUGAUUGGACCAGAUUAAGUGUCGGGUCAACACUGGUCAUGGGAUUGAUGAUACUCCAACAGAAGCAGAACAAAAUGCGAUGUUCAUAAAUUUUCCAUUUUCUAUUACUAUUUUUAUUUUAUUUUGAGUAAUUAAGUAUUAAAUAAUGUUAUAUAUAUAUUAGGAAAAUUCUCCGUUCCAUUAAAUAAUAGAAUGUUUAGCUAAUUAAUUAUAAGAGUAUAUAUAAAGUAUAAACAGUAAGAAAUUGUUUUAAAAAUAUUUUCCUUACAUAAAUAGUAAUAAUUAUAAACCAAUAGUUCAAAAUAUAUUUAUAUAUAACCAUGUGAAACUUAUAGUAUCUAAUAAAAUUUUGAUAUAUAGGUAACUUCUUGAUAACAAAAGAAUAAUCAUUGCACAACAGUAACAUACUUUUGUUAUGAAUUUCUUUGUUAUAAUAGUUGUUAGUAUUCCACACACACAUAGAAGCAAAGUUCCUAAUGUGUAAAAUUCCAUGAAAGGAAAGCCACAAUUAUAUACGUUUUUGGUACGUGGAGGAGAAGUGAAUGUUAUUUCUAGACCGUUAAAUUAAAAUUUGAUGGGGACAAGACAACCCUCGUGGAUAUGCUACAACAGUUUUACAAAGACAUCGAUACAUAUACCAAUAUGGCAAUUUUGCGUAAUAAGUUAUAUAAAAUGUGAAUAGAUAGAUAGAUAUUAGCAGGGAGAGAGGGCAUCACAGGACAAAGACAAACACUCGUGACAGAUCCAGCUAGCGUACGUAUAUAUGACAAAUGAAAACGAAAUGUUUUAGCGAAUAAGAAAAAGUUAAAACAAAUUCUCACACACACACACACUUUAAAAAGCUGCCUUUUACUCUCUCUCUCAACUCAUUCACUGCCUUAAGCAAUGAUAUGAUGACGACGAUAAUAAUGUGACAGGCCAAAAUUGUAUUUUCUUCAUAUAAAUAUAGUUUGAUAUCCCAAAAAGAUCAUUUAAUGACAUUGGCAUUUUCCUAAUCAAUCGUUUUCCUCCUGAGUUAUAGUAUACCAAUAUAUAUAUAUAUAUAUAUAUAUACCAACGUACACGAAUCGUAAUUUAAUAAUGCGAGGAUAUUAUUAUUGAUUUUACGUGAUCAUGUUUCUAAUUAAGAACUAAUUAAAAAAAAACGAGAGUAAAAAUAUAGUACAUUAAAUGACAAAGAAACAACAAAAAAUAACAUAAAAUAUGAAAGAAUUAGUUGAGAACUCUAAUAUAAUUUUUCUUUAAAUAGCAUUUGUCCAAAAAUAAACAUGUUAUGAAUUAACAGAAACAAAUUUGGGAAAAAAUCUUGUUGACUGGGGAACUACUGUAUAAGCUAAGAACAACUACUGCAUUUUAUUACUUAUAUUUUACGUGAACAAAGACAAGGUAUUGAUCAAUUAACUAACUACAAUGAAUGUUAACUCAAUUUUUAAAGAUAUAAUUAUUGGUAUAACGACGACAAACCUGAGGAUGCAUACACCUUGCGAUAAUCUUCAUCAAAUCGUAGAGAUUGCUCUCAGUCUUGGACUCUCGUUAAUUGUCGCCAUUAAAACCUUCUUACAGCUUUCUGUGAAAUGUGUGAGUGGUAAGUUUAGCAAUUGCAUUGAUGAGCUGAAAAGAGAGAAGACACCUUCGCCGCUGGAGCAUAUGGUCUCUGCCGAAGACCAAGAUCGAGAGUCAUGAUCUUUGUUAAGGAUGAGAACACGUGUCAUGAUACUGUUGUAAGAUUUUUUUGUAAACUAGGGUUUGCUCCUGCAUCAUAAAGACUCCGGAGGCGUUAGCGUCUGCGUUCACAACAGCCUCGACGGAUUCAUAUGAGGAUCCAGAGACGACACAUUUAACGUAUUCGAGGUUCUGUGGGGGGGCCUAUAUAUGUGGCAAUAGGGCAUGUAUAAACGAAUUAAAACAUAUUGUUGCAAUUGUGUUGUUGUUGUCCGUAGGAUAAGUGAUGAGUCGCACUUUCUUGAGCCAAACGCGUCACAGAAAGCUCUCUCUGUCUGUGAUGUCACAAUUCUUAUUAAAUUUAUUCUAUAAAAAAAUGGGAUCUAGCUACUAAUAUAUAUAUAUAUAUAUAUAUAUAUAUAUAUAUUCUUUUGUGAAAACUGAAAACUGGCCUUCACUAUAUAUACACAAGAUGAAAGAAAAGGUGAAGACAAAAGCAUACACAGUAGCAGAGAGACGUACUCAUCAUUUCUCGUAGCUACAAUUAGAUUCCGUUGUCUUGAAAUGACUUUAAAAAGUAUAUUUCUACUUUUAUUUAGAUUUUAUCUGUAUACUUAUUCGUUGACAUGUCUUAUACUGUUAUGCAUGAUACAUUAGACCAAUCUUCAAGUCCCUUUCUCUCUGUGUAUAUAUAUAUGAGGAUUUCAAAAGAGUGCAAAGUUGUACAAGAAAUACAUCUACAUGAAGGCGAGCUCCAGAAAUUGUCUAUGCUUAUGUUAUAUAUAUGUACGUACAUGUACAUAUACCAAGCAUGACACAUGCACAUCCAUAUGUAUUCUUCAAUUUAGACUAGUAUACGCUUUAUAUUUUAAUCAGAUUAACUAGUGCCUAUAUAUAUAUACAUAAAAAAAUUUGGUAGACUAAUCCAAGGUAGGCUGAGAAAGUUUCACAAUAAGACAGAGAACAACUGUACAAGGAAUAUUUUUGAUAUCAAUCAUCUACUUCGAAGAUUCACGGCUUUCAUUAAAUGUAACUCGAAGAUGUAUUGAAUGACUUUUUUUUUGUGCUAGGUCAAUGAAUAUUAAUUGAAUGCAGGUUCAUGUAUAUAUAUAAAUAUAUAUAACACUUUCUUAUCUUAUGAACGCGACGCACGUAGACGCACAAAUAUAUAUUCCAUCCAGGCACCCAAUCAUUAUUUUAAGGAAAACAUUUAAUUACAGUAUAAUCAGAAGAAAAAAAAUUUAUCCUUACCAAUUUUAGCAUGAGUCAACACAUAUUACCAUAAUCCUACCUGAUGCUACAAGGAACAAAUUAAGAUAUAUAAGAUACUUUUUCUGCAAAAACCAGAGUAUUUUUGCCUUUUAAAAUAUCUCUAAUAAUGUUGUCCUAAUGCGGGUAUCAAAAAGCACACAUAAUUAAAUUUGAAGUAUCUGAAAGGAAUGUUAUAAAUUUAUUUAUACUCACAAUUAUAUGUAAAAUAUAAAAUGUAAAAGAGUGAUGAUCCCAAGUGAGUGAGGUCUCGGAAUGCACGUGAGGGGGUCAUGGUGGACGCACGUGGGCUCUGGUCAAAGAUGAAGUUUUCUUUUCACU